rnacentral:lncRNA from 1 species
CCACAUACGUUAAAGAUGGGACACGACACCCAUAAUUUGCUCCAUGAAUAAUACUUUUCAGCUUGGGUAAAUCCUUUAGAACAACUAUCUCCAGGUGAGAGAGCGUGAUAAUCUUGCUAUUCAUCCCAGACAUUUCAAAAUCCUCCACAAUUUCUUGCAAGAAAGCACAAUCUGAAAUUACUAGUUCUUGGAGUUGUUGUAGACUUCUAAAGCCUGAGAAAGUGAAAAGAGCAGAGCCUCCGGAGUAUCCGAAAACUUUAAGCAUCUUUAGUCUGUGGAACCUUGAAGAUAUGAGCUCAUGCGACCAACACCUACUCAAAAAGAGUGUUUCCAGAUUAUGUAAUCGAGGUUGCCAUGUAGACGGAAGUUGUAUCUCCUCAUCACAACUUAUUCUCAACCUCUUUAGUUGACUGCUGAACUCUAUCGAUUCCAGGUUAAUUUCCUCGCAGUGGCUAAUUACAAGUUCUACUAAGUUUGGGAAUUCAACCUACAGAAUAAAUGUCAUUCAUUUUAUUAGUAGUUGAAAUUCAGCUCUUAUUAAUGGGUUGAUCUCUAUUCAAUGCCAUCAUAACUCAUGUGAGUGAUACAAACAUUAGUAAUAUCUUUUUUCUCACAAGUACAGAUAAAUAUGAAAAAUAUGAACUAAAAUUAGAUAUUAAUAAAAGGUAAAACUAUAGAAAAACAUUUACGUGACAAAAAUGUGUAUAGCUUCCACUACAUGUUUACAAUAUAUAAAAAAUAUCAUGAAAACUAAAUAUCUAAGAAAAAAAUAUAGUCAAUCGAUAAAUAACAUUCAACAAAUAUUAAUACAUUAUCAUAGAAGCUCCAAACAUCAAAAUUUAACACUAAAAUUUACUAAUAUCCUAAUACAAAUUUUAGAAAUGAAAUGCCAAGGCAUAAAACACAGAUGAGGCAUUUUAAUUUCGUAUUUAAAGUUUUGCUAGAGCCUAUAAACGCCUAAAAAUAAGGACUAUAAAGUGCUAAUUACUCAUUAUUAAACAACCAAAAUAUUGAUAAAAAGAGCAAUGCUCGAUAUACAAAAAUAACUCCCAAAAACCCAUGACAUGUUUUAAUUAGUGAAAUUGUUGUGCAUGUCAUUAGAUUUAUAACAGAGUAACCAAUUUUUGUGGUAUUUUUUAAGAGGUGAUCCGGUGAGAUGUUGGUCUUUCAUGUGCGGCCUGCUUCAUCAUGGUGGCUUGGAGGAUAGCUUCAGAGGGGUUCUGGGCUGUAUUGAUUGUCCUGGGGGAGGUGGAAAUUAUUUGGAGGUCCCCCCAUGGUUUUGUAAGGUGGUCGCCUGGAGAAGCCAUCUGUGGUGUAUCACCAGUUUAUUUUGGUGGAGCAUUGUGGGGUUUUUUAAUAGGACUUGCUUUAUUAUUUAUUCAGCUUGUAAUUUUGCUUGGACGUAUUAUUUUUUAUGGUGUUUAGGUGUUGCUGUGUCAAUUUCUUAGAGGGUGUUCUAAGAAAUUUGUGAUUGGUCCUGGGUGUGGUUUUUUCUCCCCAGGUUGUAUAUUUUUGUUUAAUUUAUAAAAUUCACACGAGGUGCCGCCCUCAUUUACCCACAAAAAAAAAAAAACAACUUGACACAUAUUUUUCGGAAAUUUUUUGAAAUAAUUUUUUGAUACUUCUAGCAUUUCUAUAAUAAAAAUAAGUGCUAUUCUAUCGAAUAAAAUAAAAAUUAGAUUAGAAAAGUAAAUUUUGUAGCAUACCAUUCUAUGGAACAGAGGUUGAAACUGAACAGAUGGUUGCAUCAUGGCGUCUUUAUUUUCCCUGCAGAAGCCUGUGAGUCUGGGCACAUUGCUUAGCUCCAAUUCUUCUAAAUUGGAGAAGUGUAUGAUAUCUCCAUUGCUUGAGCCAUCAUGUAUUACUAUUGCUUCCAUCACAGGGCAAUCUCUUAUUAUCAACUUUUGCAGCUGGGUGAGACGUUUUGCAACAGAGUUGCAGAAGAGGUAUCUUAAACCGGAGCAUUCUAUAAUUUCUAAAUAGGUUAGUUUAGAAAAAGAUGUCUGCUGGCUAUGCUGAAUAUCAUUGUGUGGCAUCCUUGCCAGAUGAUCCAUUUUGUUACAUUCUUCAAUUUGCAGAUUUCUCAAUUCUGUGAAUGCUUCCCGGUUGCUCUCGAAGAUACUACUCACAGUAAUAUUGCUGCACUGCAGAUUCACAUAUUCAGCCUUGUCUAUCAGACUUUUCAAGCUUUCUUCAUGACAGCCUUGCAAUACAAUCGACGUCUUGUAAGACAGAUCUGUUUUUCCAACACAUGACCCCCACCCACCCACACGUAUAUUAAAUAAUUUUAGAUUAUCAAAUAUGUUUGUAACUUGAAAAGGCUCAGAUAUUUUAAAUUUUAUCUGCAAACUUUUCAAACGGGUCAGUUGAUUGAUCUCGACCAAAAUGGGUUUCUGAACAUCAGAACUUUCAGAACACCAAAUCUCCAAUCCAUCGGGUAUAUGCAAUUCUUCCAGUCUAGAUAGACUGGAUAUGGUAUUUGGCUUCAUUUUCACUUUCGACCCCUUGAUUUCUAGCUUUCGAAGGUAUUUCAGAUUUGAUAAAUCCAGAGGUUCUGGGAAAUCGCCUUUCCAAAUGCAGAGAGUUUCUAGGUUUUCAGGAAAAAAACCAACACAUGUAUUGUUAAUGUGACUCAGGUUACAACCUUUCAAAAUUAACGUCCUCAGUUUACCUAAGGGUCGAAGAGAGAACUGCAGCUUCGAAGGAGAAUAGGUACCCACAAGAUAUAAAAAUCUCAGAUUCGCAGACAUACCGAAGAAGCCGCUUGAGAAUUGUUGUAUAUCAUUGUUGAAUUGUAUCCACAAGCUUUGCAGAUUUGGGCAUACAAGAUCAUCAGGGAUAUGAAUAUUAUCGCCAUCCAGAUCUAGCCGUAAAAAUUUGGUAGUGACAAAAUCAGCAUCAUCAAGCAGCCGCACGUCACAUGUUACCUGUGAAAAUGCAAAUUUUGAAUCUCUGAAAGCUAUAGAUCUCCCAACAUCUCUGAUGAGGUCAUGCAGUUUGAUUCUAUCAUCUUUUUCACAGUCAAGCAACAAAGAAGAUAAUCUCAGAGUAUCAAUCAUUGAUAGUACCCUAGAGUUCCCACAUACAAGCUGUGACCCUGUUGCCAACUGGAUCAGCUCCCUGAUAGGGAUGUCAGCAUCUUCCGGAAACAAGCAACACAAAAACAGACAUGACUUGGCAUCGCCGUGUAAUUUACUGAUACCCAAUUCUACACAAGCAUAUACUUGUGGUUCUACUCCAGGUAUGUUUACGAAUUCACCCUUCUGGAGUUGUUCAAGUGCAUCCACCCAUGAAUUGUGAGUUUCGAACUGCAGCGCUUUACUGAUCGCAUGAAUUAGGAGUGGUAAACCCCCACAUUUAUCACACACUUUCUUUGCAAGAGACUCAUCCUGCAUAUAAUCAAUUUGAGCAGUACCGACAAAAUUCUUAAAUUGCUCCCACGCCUCAUCAUUUCGCAGGGGUGUAAUUUUAACAAGAGUAUUGCAAUUGUUACGCAAGCAUACAUUUUCCUCUCGAGAUGUCAUCAGAAUCUUGGAAACCACAGGACUGUUUCCAUCACCAGAUGGAAUUCCAAUAACAUCUAGAGGAAUUUCCCUCCAUACAUCGUCUAGUAUGACGAGGGUCUUGCCGGCAUUCAAUAAACUUUGUUUCAGCUGAGAAGCUCUGCUUUCCGCAUUAUCUUCCGAUUCAAAUUUGCAAUCAAGAUGCUCAGCAAUCUGUUUCUGUAAGUGUAUCACAUCCAGGUUUUCAUUACCCACGUUCCCUCGUGUGACCUUGUUAAAGAUCUUCUUCUCCUGAGCUUCUUUCCAUAGUUGUUCCAUCAUCCGAGUUUUCCCCACUCCUGGCAUUCCACAUAUACCAAGGAUUGGAGAGCUAUCCGUGAUUAACGUACGCCAUAGCUCCGCAUAAACAUCUUUUCUGGAUUGAAAUUCCUGGUACUCGGUAUUACUUUUGGGUAAAUUUUCAGCUGGCGCAAGAUGUGCGAUUUCAUUAUCCAGGAGCUCCUUUCCGGAAUUAAUGAGCUCAGUUAGCCUCUCUGUCUUCUGCACCACUGCUCUGCCAAGUCGAAAAAGAGAGACGGGGUUGGGAAUUGGUAGACACUGAAUGCACCUCCAUGAAUGUCUGGUUUUGUGUAUUUCUGCAAACUUUUCGGCGCUCUCCAUGAUUUCUUCAGCCUCUUUCUGCCACUUAUCUACAUGAGGCUUGAUAAGUUUACCAUUAGCUCUUUCUGCAGCAACUUUUGUGGACACCCUUUCCUCCUCAGUGUAAGCUUUUUCGACUUGGGAAUCGAGAGUCUUAACAAGAUCCUUGUAACAGAACAUGUAACGGAAUCCACGGAAGAAGGCGUCAACUGCAGCAUCAGAUAUUCUGUCCACAAGUUUCCCCACACAUGGAAUAUCAGAUAAACCAACCAUGAUUCUUUCUUGGAAUUGUGAGAGAAAAGGAAAGAAGAGAAGAGAGAAGGAUAGCAAAAGAAAAGGAAAAUCUUGAGAUGGAUGAUUAAUCCACAGACCACAGGCAUAAUUAACUCAUAAUAUAUAAUUAUCUGAUUUAAGUUUUUCAAGGUUUUGGCCAUAAGUGCAUGUUAGAUCCACUCUCCGAGGACUAGCAGAUGCUUACAAUUUUAAACUAAUCUUAAAUACUCCAUAAUUUAGUUUACCACAGCCUCGACAGCUUAAACAAUUGAAGCUGAAGAUGCAGGCCUGAGCACAAUACUACUUUUUAAAUGGAAAGGAGACGACUCUUGUCAUCAACGGGCGUCCACCCUUGACCCUGAUUGAACAAUCCUACCCACUCUAAACUACUUUGGAAUCUUUAUUUUACUGCCCCGGAGUUUAACAAGACAUGGGACGCGUAGCUAUGGACUAUGUUCUGCAUAAGCGAGCACAAUAUAAUACUCCCUUCGUACUACAAUAUAUGUCACUUUUGAGAAAAAAAAAUUGUUCCAUAAUACUUAUCCACUUUUAGUUUCCAAUACAAAUAUAUUGACAUUAUUUCAAAUUUACCUUUCUUGAAAGUUGUAUAAUAAUUAAUAAGAGUCUACAUUUAUACAUUUAUCAGGGGUGCAAGUGAGAAAAUAUUAUCUAUUUAAUGUUUCUUUAAUAUGCGUAAUUUUUUCAAAAGAGACAUAUACUACAUUUAUCAGGGUGCAAGUGAGAAAAUAUUAUCUAUUUAAUGUUUCUUUAAUAUGCGUAAUUUUUUCAAAAGAGACAUAUACUGUGGGACGGAGGAAGUAAAAUUAUAAUUCAGUACCCACAUGCUUCUCCAGUUCUCCUCAUGAAUGGCAUUCACACAUUUAUUAAAUGGAUCAAAUUGAUGCAAGUCUCUUGAUUUAUUAAAGUGAUGAGUAACAUACCUACACACUUGAGCUUUGUUUCAUCCACCCAUCUCGCCACCACCAGCUCUUCCCGUUGAUUCUUUCUCCAAUCUCAGUACAGUUGUAAACUUAAGCUUCAAUUACAGCAGUUCAGUAACAACUCGCCAUGUCUCUUUCAGUAGCAGCAGCAGACAGUUGAAAAAAAUAAAAUCAGAUCCUGAGACUGCAAAAUCUCAUGUCUCUUUCAUAACAACAAAAUCUUAUCAAUUAGUACUUAUAAGGCCCAUGAGCCCAAGUCAGGCCCAAUUCAAGCCCAUCACAAACGCUUAACCGGGUCGUUUCAAAUAACACAAAUACACACUACAGCUCUCUUUUUCUCCUCAUUUUCUCGGCUAGGUUUUCAAGAAAGGCCCAUUUUUCCGGCGAACCACUCCGGCGGAGCUUCAAAAAUUGGUACUUUUUAACAUUUUUAGCAACCCCUUUUGUUUAAUUAAAAAAUGCAUAGCAGCCGCCAGCCUUCAUUGGUAUCUUUUAGUGAGGAUAAAAAUAUUAGGCCUAGAUUGGAUGUAUUUGCUUCAUAUGGGUUUUGGUGAGGAUAAAAAUAUUAGGCCUUGAACAAUUUUAUAGUACCAAUGGAGAAUCGGUUUAAAGAUAAGUACGUGGAUGAAUAUUGUUUGAAAUAUCCGCAAGUACUCAAGUUGUAUAAAAGGACAGUGGAAGCGUAGGUGACAUCAGUGUCUAUUAGAUUGCUUAUUGAGCAUUGAUGAAUGGAUCAGGGCCAUUAAGAUUCGGUUUUCUGCUACCCAAAGAGUUUAAAAAGUCGGACAACAUUAGGAUUACAAACAAAGGGUCUUGACUUUUUUGUCUGAUUUACAGUAAAGGCUCGUUUGUGUGCACCACAGAAUUAGAGAAUUGUCUAUAAUUUGCAUAUCUUGUACCUGUAUUGAAAUGACCUUUUAGUGACCACUUAUCAAUUGAAGGUUAGCAGGCUUAGGUUGCCCAAUAUUGUUAAUUUCAUGGUUGCAUCUAUCGUACUUGUACAAUUUGUUUUGUUUGUUAUCUGUAUCUGGAUGUUAUUAGAACUUAAGUUUUAUGAAACUUGUUCUACAUGCAAUGCUAUCACUCUUCCUGCGUAGUUGUCACUCAUUCAAGGUUGCAACAAUUUGUUUGCGUCUCAGAUAUAAUUUUGUAAAUGUUUGCUAAAACAACUGCAGUAGUUACUCUGCUGUGUUGAACCUCGGCAAUACAUUCUUCACGACAGGUAUUGGUUAGGGUUAAUAAUCAAGUGAGUCAUCAAAGUGGGUUGUAUAUAUCAAGUUGGUCACUGAACUCAAAACGAUCUCAAAUUGGUCACUUAAGUUAGGUACAUAUAUCACUAAAUACGAGUUCAAGGAGUAAAUAUAUUAUUUAUAGAGUUUUACACAUUAUUCUUGAAUGUUACCACAACUAAGUACAAGAUUAUGACUUAUAAUAUUUAUCAUAAUGUACUUCUGAAUUUAUCAAGUUUCUUUACUAUUUAUUUUUAAUUAAAACAAAGAAAUAACUAUAUAAUAAAAAAUAAAAAAUAAAUAAACUUGAUAAAAUUUUAAUAUAUUAUCAUAAAUACUAGGAGUCAUAACCUUGUACUUAGUUGUGGUAACAAUAAAAAAUAACGUGUAAAUCAUUAUAAAUUAUUUUUUUACUCCUUGAGUUCAUAAUUAAAGAUACUUGUAACUGACUUCAAUGACCAAUUUGAGACGGUUUUGAGUUCAGUGACCAACUUGAUAUAUCGAGUUCACUUUGGUGACUCACUUGAUUAUUAAUCCGUAUUGGUUAUAUCAAUUUUUUUUAUCAAGAGCACCAAACUAGGUUAAUGCAAAGUAGUUUGGGCUUAAUGUAUACGGUGAUCACUAAGAUAGUAUGUAGAAGCUGAAUUAUUAGUUUUUUUUGACGGGGGAUUUGUGUCGAGUGAUGAUUUGCAAUUAGUGUGCAACUAGUUCUUUUCUAUUAUACAAUAAUUACAUGAAUAUAAAUUUAGUCUAUAAUUUUAAUUGUAUCUAUAAUAAAAGUUCAUUGUUUAAAAUGUGGGUCCCACGACGGGAGAUCACAUGGCCACAUCAGACCCACAUUGCCAUGUGUUUUGUCACGUCAGCAGUUGGGGCCCACACUACCAUGUGGUCUGACAUGUGGGGCCUAAUUUGCCAUGUGGACUGCCACAUCAGCAUAUGGGAGCUCACACUUCCAUAUCAUUAUAUGAGACCCACUUAUUAGCUUUAUCGUGCCUAUUGUAACAUAAAACAACAUUUGUUUGUCUAAAAUAACAUUAUGUCACCUAAUGUAACACAAAGCCUUUUGGAUCAUGGGAAAGUAGAAUUCCAACCCCAUUAAUAGAAAAGAAAAUGAAUUUAUGAAAUCUCAUUCCCAUUCAUGUUAACUGGGUUAGAAUCCCAUGAUCACAUUUUACAAUGAGAGUUGCAUUACCUCAAUGGAAUAGUAAUGACAUUGCACUAGUUUUUUAGCGUGACGGGGAUGUAGUAAUGGUUUUGUAACUUUUUGCUCACCAUCUGAAAACUUGUAAAAUGAGAGAGAACUUUUGAUGAGUCUGUGUGAUUCAUUGAUAACUAUUUCAGGAAGAAGACAUUAGGAAUGCAAUUGAAAUUGAUAACUCUCAAGUCAUUGUUCGGCAGAGAGUAAGUUGCUGAGGAACACAAUCUCCUACAUGGACAUAAAAAUCCAACAUAUGACAAACUAAUCAGUAGAGGCUGGCUACCUGAGUGUAACUAAUAUUUCGACAAAGGAGCAACCAUCAAAAUAAUUCACAAUUCCAACGAAUUAUGUCGAAUGUGUAUCUCAACGAUCUCUUGCAGGAUUGUGUGCUAAUAUUAGCCUAUUGACUUAUUCAAAUGCGAAUAAACACGAACAACCUUGUCCAAGUUUAACUGGUAUUGACUUGGUAAACUAUUUCUGCAGCAAAUAUUAAAUCUAAUUUAAACCAUUAAAAAAUAAGUCGCAUUAAUUAUUUUUAACAAAGAGUCAGUUGGUGAAAAAAUUUUACGUAAAAAAUGAGCUUAGUGAAACAAUAUAAAAGAGGAAGUACUGUUGGUCGGAUUCAAUCCCCUAACAGCUAAUUACCGCUAACAUCUAAUUCAAUCCGCUAACAGCUAAUCCCCAAACAGGGCCAUAGUCUUUUUGCUUCAAUCAUGAGACGACCACAAAUUAUGGCAGUUUCUGAGAAAAAAGUUGAUCAGGUGAUGGAAUCUUUGAAUAAAAGACUGGGAUGAAAGAUAUCAAAGAUACCAAGUUGUCCUACUGUUAUUAUGCAUAGCUUAAGAGCAAGUCCAACACUAUGCUAAGAGGUUCCCUAAAAAUAUUAUAAAAUAAUAUGUCUUAGUGAUUUAGCACAAGAUUUAGCACAUGAGCUCCAAUAGUACUCCCUAUAUCCAUUCCCUAUUACUAUAAUAAUAUUAAAUAGUGGAGGAGAGAGGGAAAAAAGAGAGGGAAAUGAUGUGAAGGAGAGAGAGAAAUGAAUAUUUUAAUGAUAAAAAUAGUUUAGAAGUGGCUAGCAUAUUCUAAAAAUAGGGAAGGGGAGGCUUGUGCUAGUGAUUUAGCACAUCACUAGCAUAGUGUUGGAGUGCAAUUUUAUCCCAUAUUCCCUAUUUUUGGAUUUAAGACUUGAUUUAGCACACCUAUUGGACUUGCUCUAAAGUAUUAGAUCAUGCCACACUGUUUACUUAAUCAGUUUUUAUUAUCAAAAUGGAUGGUGAAAAGGACUUCGUCAUGUGUGCGAUUAUAAUAGUAUUGGUCACGAGUCGAUUUAAAGAAAGUUUUCUGAGAAAAUUUUGUUCAUAGUUUCCGGAUGUGCUUUGAUAACUCCAAACUCCGAUCCCGGUCCUUCCUCCGCCGUGACUGAUGGUUUCGUGGUGCAGCUGCUGGAUGGGGGCCUACAAAACAACGCCGGCGGGGGGGUUUUGCCCCAAGGCGCCUCCGGCGUGAGAGUAAGCGUAGGUUUCGGAAGGAUAAAGAUUAGAGAAAGUGUUAUCUAUGUGUGGUGAGUGAAGGUGUAUGGCUGGUGGUUGCUGGUGGCUGAGAGUGUUUGAGUGUAUGCUGAGUGUGAGAGUGUGAGAGUGUGUAUGAACGAGUGUGUAGAGAGUGAAGUUGACCCCCAGACUCUUGAUCCUUGGUCUAUUUAUAGGCCAAGGAUUAGGGUUCGGGGGUGCGUACCUGGAUCCUGGUCCUACACGUGUAGGGGUUUGAUCCCCUACACGUGUCCAGGUGUCGGCGUAGAAGUAGUCUUUUGGAAUGUUCCCUGGCUUGUCUCUAUCGCCAGUAGUUGACCGUUAUAUUUGUCUUCUUCGUGUCAGUCUGUGGCUCGUGCAGUAGUUGUCGGCUGGUACAUGUUUGGACCCCGGUCGAGGGGUGCGGUUAGGAGUUACCCGGGUCCAAUUCUUAACCCGGGUGAUGUACUCGAGUAGGGUCUGGGAUGAUGUGCUCUCUCCGAGGACCAUGGUCCGGGUGGGUCCGGGUCCAUAGGAAGUAGUACCCGGGUUAUUCCAUAUCAUGCUUGAGUUGUAGUAUGCAAGCAAGCCCAAAUAAGCUAGAGCUAUAGGUCAUGUAGGUAUGUAAUGCAAGUGUCAAGAUUAUAUGCUUUUUAAGAAAUCCUAAUUCCAGAAGCUACUAAUUAACAAAUUGAAUAACCCAAUGUUUUACACCUUCUCUCGAGUUAUAAGGAGGGAGGAAAGCAAAUGAAAAAUAAGUAAGAUUGUAUAACUUUCACUCAGUUUUUUAAAAAGAGGAAAACAGGUGAAAAUGAAUGCAAAUAUAAUAUACUUUACUAUACAAGUGAGAUGAAAUUGAAAGCACAUUUGCUUUUACUUGCAUUUAGUUGCUUUCACUCGCAUUUACUUGCUUUCGCUCCAGAAAAAACGAACCUUAGUGCUUUGUUUUGAAUGGGUUAUGUUUUUUGCCAUCUAUAAACAUUCACCACGAGAAAUAACAUAAAGAUUACUAACACAACGUGUAACAAGUUCAUGUUUUUAAGUUGAAAAGGGAGGAUAACACUGAACUGGCAUUAGUAUUACCAGUUCUAAAAUGGAUAUUUUGUUGUUGUGAUCAAUUUGAAACUUUAUUUCUUUUGGCAAAUGGCUAUGAGGAUAACAUGAAAGAAUGUUAAUUUGUGAAGUUUAUUUCUUUAGGAGGUACUAUUUUUGUUUAUCACCUUUUUUUACAAUUUUUUUAUUACCUGACACGCAUUUUAAGGCGCGCAUAAAAUAUAGUUUCAUAAUUUGUUUUCAAAGCAUUUCUUUUUUGUAUAAAAAUUUAAUGUUUAAAUUUUUAUUCUGAAAAAAAAGUUCAAAUAAUUUAUUAAACUAUAUUUUAUGAGAGUAUUAAAAUGCGUUGUGAGCCUUCGUCGUCCAAUAUAAAUAAUUGAGGGGGACAGAGGAAGUAGUACGAUGUCUCAUAAAAUUUUUAUAUCAUUAGAUAAUAUAUAUUGAACUUCUAAAGAUAUUUUAAUCUUGUACAAUAUAAUUAUAAAUUUAAUAUUAUAAAUGUUGUUUAUAAUCUAAAUAAACAAUCCAACCCAACAAUAUAUUUACGGUGUAAAAUCAACUCCAAUACAAUACUAAAAUAAUGUAGAAUUCUACUAACUCUCUGGGGAGCUCGAAUAUAACAACUAUGCCGCUAAUGUUUGAUUUGGCCGAAAAUGCUAGCAAAUUUAAGAGAGCUGUUCAAAAGAUUAGGGCCCUGUUUGGGAGUUAGAGGAUUGAGCAAAAAUUAGAGGUUUGGGUUAAAUUAGAGGUUUGACCAAAAGAAUCAUCUAAUUUGGGUGUUUGGUUGUUAGCGGAUUGUAAUAGCGGUUUGAGCUCAAUAAGCUAAUUUUCAAAAAGCUAAGUGGAGGAGCUUUUUGGAUUAGAGGUUUGUGAUUGUGUCUAAAAAAAUACAAACAGUUAGUUCAAACAGCUAACUACCAAACAGAUUUAGACAAAACAGCUAAUCUAAAUCCGCUAGUCAAAACAGCUAAUUAAAUCCGCUAGUCAAAACAGCUAAUGAAUCCGCUAUCAGCUAACCGCUAACAGCUAAUUCCCAAACAGGGCCUAGGAAAUGGAGUUCAGGAAGAUGGGCUCUUAUUACUUUUUAAAAUAAUCAUGUACAUUAUGAAAUCUAAUUUAAAUAUAAUAUAAUUUUAAAUAUUUUGUGCAAUUUGACUUUCGUCAUAUUAAUCAGAUAUUUAUACUUUACGAUGGAAAUCAAACUCCAAUAUAACAUUGCAAUAAGGUAGAAUUUACACCAAAUAAAUAAUGACACCAAAUAAUAGACCUGUUAACUGCUUCAAAUAGGCUCUAUAAAUAGCCUCUUUAUGUAGUCAUUGAGAUCUGGAACUUCUUCACGUUUAUCCCCGUCAGUCCUUACAUAUCCGUUUCCUGUACUUGUAUUCAAACAAGUGAAAUUCUUUGCCCUGGGACACCCAACCAGACUGAAAUACUUUACUAGGGGCAUAUUGAAAACAUAGCUUUCAUCGCGACUAAAACUUUUGAGGUUUGGCAGAUUUUCAAGUUUAAUAAGCUCGAGUCGAGGGAGUGUAAUAGUCUUGUCAUUUGUGUCGUCACCCCUUGCAUCUUCCACAACGACUUCUAACAAUAUGCAAUUUAAGACUGUCAAAUACUGAAGUUUUAGGAGAUUCCUGAAAACAGAGCAAGUGAAGAGAGUAGAGAAUCCACAGUUAUCAACUUUUAUGUUCCACAAAGCCGGCAUAUAGCAGUCAUAAUUUGCACCGUGGAUGAAACUUUUGAGGUCUGGCAAAUUUAUAAGUUCAAGUGUGUCGAGUUUUGAGAGUGAGAUAAUAUCUUCACUCAUACCAGAAGUUUCAUCUCCCCUUGCAUACUCAAAGAUGCCUUCCAACAUUCUGCAAUCCCGUACUUUUAAUUCUCUUAGACUCCGUAGACUUCCAAAGCCUGCUGAGCACAUGAAAAGAGAAGAGAGUCCACAAUUAAUAACUGAAACAUAUAAUAAAUUUGGCAGAAGUAGGCACUCAUGAUUUGCACUGUAGAUAAAACUCUUUAGCUUUGGUAAAUCUUUAAGAACAACUCUUUCCAGUUGAGAGAGUGUAAUAGUCUUCUUGUUCAUGCCAGAAACCUCAUCACUCCUAAUAUCCUCCACAAUUUCUUCCAAAUGAGCACAGCUUGAUAUAUUCAAAAAUGCGAGACUUGUCAACUCUGAGAAUGAAAAAAGAUUAGAGAGUCCACAAUCCUCAACUUCCACUUUCUUUAAAGACGGGACAUGGCACCCAUAAUUUGCUCCAUGAAUAAUACUUUUCAGCUUUGGUAAAUCCUUUAGAACAACUCUCUCCAGGUGAGAGAGCGUGAUAGUCUUCUUAUUCAUGCCAGACAUUUUGUCAUCCUCCGCAAUUUCCUCCAAGAAAGCACAAUCUGAAAUUUCUAUUUCUUGGAGAUGUUGUAGACUUCUAAAGCCUGAGAAUGUGAAAAGAGCAGAGCCUCCCGAGUAUCUGAGAACUCUAAGCACCUUCAACCUUUGGAACUGUAAAGAUUUGAGCUCAUGCCACCAACAUCCAUUCAGAAUGAGUGUUUCCAAAUUAUGUAAUCGAGGUUGCCAUGCAGACGGAAGUUGUAUCUCCUCAUCACAACUUAUUUUCAAGCUCUUUAGUUGGCUGCUGAACUCUAUCAAUUCCAGCUUAAUUUCCUCACAACUGCUAAUUUCAAGUUUUACUAAGUUUGGGAGUUCAACCUACAAAAUAAAUGCCAUUCAUUUGUCAACUUGACAGAGAGAACGUCUACAUGCACCUUCAUUAGUCAUGCAUUAUAUAUUUGAACACGCAAUGCAAGUUUCAUGUGAUUUUCCGGAACCAUUUAUAAUAUAUUGAAUUGAGUUGACUCUUAUUUGUAUGGAGUUUGAUACUUCCUGAGCAUCCACGUUGUGACCUAACAAAUCACAUUUAAAACACAAUGUUCUUAAACAAUUGAUUUCUUGAUGUUAAUUUCGUGCUGUACAAAGAUGCAUUUAGUGAAAAGAAUUUUGUAUGGCAAGGUUUUGACCAACCGACUGAUACUUAUCUUCCUGAAAUGAAGCUUGGCUGGAACAAGAAGACAUGAAAACACGGAUCAAACAUGCCAACCUCAAAGAAUGGAGUUUUGGGAGAUUCCUGAAAACAGAGCACGUGAAGAGAGUAGAGAAUUCACAGUUAUCAUCAAGAGCGUGAUAGUCUUCUUAUUGAUGCCAGAUAUUUUGUCAUCCUCAGUAAUUUCUUCCAAGAAAGCACAAUCUGAAAUUUCUAGUUGUCGGAGUUGUUGUAGACUUCUAAAGCCUGAGAAUGUGAAAAGAGCAGCGCCUCCAGAGUAUCUGCGAACUUUAAGCACCUUCAGCACUGGGAACUGUAAAGAUUUGAGCUCAUGCGACCAACACCCACUCAAAAAGAGUGUUUCCAGAUUAUGUAAUCGAGGUUGCCAUGUAGACGGAAGUUGCAUCUCCUCAUCACAACUUAUAUCCAAGCUCUUUAGUUGGCUGCUGAACUCUAUCAAUUCCAGCUUAAUUUCCUUGCAACUGCGAAUUCCAAGUUUCACUACAUUUGGAAAUUCAACCUGCAAAAUAAAUAUUUUUCAUUUUGUCAACUUUACGCUGAGAACGUUUCUUUUAUUUUCUUGAUAAUAAUAAUAUUAUAAAUAGAUAAUUUAUAAUUUGAUUUGUGGUACUCUUUUAUACAUCUUAUUUUUAAAAUAAAUAAAAUUAUAUAUUAAUAAUGAGAGGCUUAAACUUAACUUGUUAUAGAAAGUUUUCAUCUAACCAAUACAAAGAUAUAUAAUAUCAUUUUUUUCUAAAUAGAGAAAUAAUAAAUAUGAAAAAUAUAAUUUGUGAUUAAAUAUUAGAAUUGUAAAAUUAUCAUGAUUAACAUAUAUUAAUAUAAGAAAAACAUCCACGUGAUACUUUCACUACUCAUUUAUCAUAUAUAAAAAAAUAUUAUAAAUGCUAAAUAUCUAAGAGAAAAUAUAUUCAAUCGAUUAAUAGAUGUUCUAAUACAAAAAUAUCUUACUAAUAAAAUGAUGUUUAAUUAUAUUAUAAACAAAAAAUUAUAAAAUUAGAUUCAAGCUAUUUUAGGUGCUCUAUAUAGUUAAAACUAAUAAUUAUAUUUAUUUUUAUGAUUUCCAUUUCAGUUAUUUCUUUUUAAAUAAUUAUUAUAUAAUUUUUAGGAAUUAUAUUUCUUAUUUGUUCUAAUUUUUUGUUACUUGUUAAUAGGAAUUCUAUAAAUCUUUUAACUUUUAGUUGAAAAUAAGAAUUUCAUUUCAUUUUAUUAGCUUUUAUGUUGUGAGGGAGAAAAAUUUAUAUUUCUUUUUCGGUUCCUAUUUGUUAGCUUUUAUUAUACUAAUGACAGUUGAUUUAAUAAUAUAAUCAUUAUUUUUUCAUAAAAUUAAAAUUUAAUUAUUAACUUUAAAUUUUGUGAAUAUUAAUAAUUAUAAUAUUAUAAUCAGACAAUCAAUUUUAAAAACAACUUUUUUAUCAAUAAAACUAUAUAACAUAACUACAUUAUUUAAUUUCUAUAAUGAAAUAGAGGAGCAAGUUUACAUAUUUUUCUAGUAAGCGUAUAAACCUCUUUAUAAAAUAAUUUAUUGGUUCCAACUAUAAUCUAAUUAUUAGAUUAAAAGUUACUUAAUCAAGAAAAAAUUACCUUUUCAACAUUCACCUGAAAAAUUAUUAUUUCAACAUUAAUUUGGCCCAUUCCACCUACACUUUUCUCCAUUUUUCUCUUGGAGAGCAGUAACAUAAAAAUAUAUAAAGAGUGGUGUUGUGUGCACAAAAUUGUGUGCGAAAAUUUUGUAUGUGAUAAUUAAUGUGCUGAGUUUUAAUUGAGGUUGUUGAUGUAAAUACAGGCUCUAUUUAAUUAAAACUCACCACAUGUCAUUUUGUACAAAAUUUUUGACACAUUUAUAUGCACCAAGCACUGCUAACAUAAAAAAUUGAAGAAAUGAAUAUAAAUAUAGUACACAUAAAAAAUUGAAGAAACGAAUAUAAAUAUAGUACCUUGCAGGUAUCAAUUUCCUCACCACAAAAGCUGGUCAAGUUUGGCAAAAGCUCUAACCGUAAACACGUCAAUUCUGGAAAGACUAGGGCAUCAUUGAUUUCUCCUUGUUUAGCUUCCCCCACGAUCCUUUUCAUCUUCUUGCAUUUUCUUACAAUAAUUUCCUCAAGGUGCAUAACAUCUCUGGGAACCACGUUUGUAAGGCUAUGACAAUCGUUUAUUUCUAGUUUUUUGAGAUUUGGAUACAGGUUCCCUGACUUCAACCCUGUCUCCGCUAAACAAGGCAAUUCAUUCAGAUACAAAUGUCUUAAAGCUGGCAAGCCGCAUACAUCGAUGUUGCUUGCAUCUGUGCCCACUCCGGAGAUCAAUGAACUACAAUCACUUAUUCUUAAGAAUUGCAGAUUCGAUAGCUUAUGCAACAUGACAACUGGAAUUAUUGUUUCCGAUCUACUAAAGCCUUGUACUGAGAUGCUUGUUAGUUUGCAAAAAGAGGAUUCGCAGUUGUAAUCCCUCUCCUAAAUAUCACUUGUAUCUUUUACAUUUUUGAUUUUCAAAUCUUUCAAUGAAGGGAAUUCAACCUGUUAAUAAUUCAACACCAAAAUUCACUGUUAUCCUACUACAAACUUUGGAACUUAAAUGCAUAGGCAUAAAACACAAAUGGAAUUUAUUUAAAUUUUGUAGACAGAGAUAUAUAGUAAUAAUUAAAUUCAAACUAUUAUAUAAAAUCAUAAAAUACACAUAACCAAUUGUGCGUGACAUUACCCACCACUCCGCAACCAUGUCUGACCCACUCAAUCUAAUACGACCCACUAGAGCCUCGUUAAGACGGCUCUCAAUUAUGCUCUAGACAUGCACAAAAUGACAAAAACAAACGCUUAAUCUUUCCGGUCCCACCCAGACCCCAACUAUACCCAUCUGGGGAGCCACAAUCGGGCUAUUCACGAACCGAGCCAAGCCAAGCCGGGUUAAUUUUUUUCUGAUGAGCCGAGUUUUAAGUUUUUUUCCUGACGAGCCGAACUUUUUUAUCGAACAAAAAUUGUGUUCGAACUCGAGCUCAUUAACUUGUUCGCGAACAAAUACAAGCCAAGCCGAGCCGAGCCAGAAAAAAAUAAGGUCAAACCGCUAGUUGAUGCUUAAAAUAGCUAACCAAAUAAUUUUUUUUUCUAAAACUUUGGUUAUUUCACUAAAGGCUUAAUGACCUUUUAGCCUUCGAAGUAUGAGUGGAAAUUCUGAUGCGGCCUCGUAGUUUAAAAACGUACCUUUCGACCCUCAAAGUAUCUUUGUCGUACCUUUUAGCCCUUUUUAAAAAUACCGGUAUAAAUCAGAGGAUAAACUUGACAAUUCAUAUCCGGGGUAAAGUUUGGGUGUACCUUUUAACCCUUAAAGUAUACAUCUCGUUCCUUUUAACCCCUAAAGAAUACAUUAAAAUACAUUAGAUCUUCCUUUUAACCCUUAAUGUUUAAUGCCCCUUUUAACCCUCACGUGUGAAAUAUCAACUUUGUCCACCCUGUUAUAUACCGAUAUACGCCAUAAGGGUUAAAAGGUAUGACAAAAAUACAUUGAUGGUCGAAAGAUACGUUUUUAAACUUCGAGGCCACAUCGGAACUUCCACCCAAACUUCAAGGGCUAAAAGGUCAUUAAGCCUUCACUAAAAUGUAUAUAUGUUAACAUUCAUACGGUUGGAUCGGUAAAAAAAUAUUUUUUAAAAUAUGGAAACACCAAAUUAGGAUUAAACACUAGUUAGCGGUACUAGUCAAACCUCUACUUGAUUGUUAAAAUAGCAAUACAAAUAAAAUUAUUAUUUCCCGAAACUUUGGUUACAUCACUAAAAUCUAUAGAUAUAUUACAUAUUGAAUUCUGAUUUCAAUAUAACACACACACACAUAUAUAUAUUAUAAAAAACCCCAAAAAAUAUUACAUUUUUCGAGUUUUAACAAGCCGAACUCGAGUCGAACAAGCUUGAGCCGAACAUACUAAAAGCUCGGCUCGAGCUCAUUUUCUUAACGAACUAUUUUUUGUGUUCGAGCUCGAGCUCUUAACGAGCCGAGCUCGAGUUUAUUCGCGAACAGCUCGGUUCGUUAAACACCCCUAACCACAACCCUACACAUCCUUUUUAAAACAUUAAAAAUAUUAAAUUAUAACUUUUACAAUAUUAAUUUAUAAGAUAUAAACAACUAUAAAAUGAAAAAUGAUAAUUACAUUAUAUUUGAUAUAAAAUUAUUCAAGUUAUAUAACUAUAAUAAAUAAAUAUAAUAAAAAAAUUAAUCAUUUAAGAUUUAACCGUUAUUUGCACAUAAUAUCUAUUUUGUUUAAAUUUUGAUAUGUAAUUAUUAAACAACCAAAAUAUUAAUAAAAAUAAGUGCUUCAAGGAUGACUAGAAAAGCAAAGGGUGGAGCCGGGAGCGUACCAUAUUAUGGAAUAGAGGUUGAAACUGAGCAGAGGGCUGCAUCAUGGCGUCUUUAUUUUCACUGCAGAAGCUGCUGAGUCUCGGCACUUUGCUUAGCUCCAAUUCUUCUAAAUUGGGAAAGUGUAUGAUAUCUCCCUUGCUUGAGCCAUCAUUCAUUACUAUUGCUUCCAUCGCAGGGCAAUUUCUUAUUAUCAACUUUUGCAGCUGGGUGAGACAUUUUGCAACAGAGUUGCAGAAGAGGUAUCUUAAACCGGAGCAUUUUUUAAUUUCUAAACAGGUUAGAUUAGAAAAAGAUGUCUGCUGGCUAUGCUGAAUCUCACCCUGUGACAUCCUUGCCAGAUACUUCAUUUUGUUACAUUCUUCGAUGUAAAGCUUUCUCAAUUCUGUGAAUGCUUCCCGGUUGCUAUCGAAGAUAUUACUGAUCACAUUAAUAUCAGUGCGCUUCAAACUCACAUAUUCAGCCUUCUUUAUCAGACUAUUCAAGCUUUCUUCAUGAUAGUCUUCCAAUUCAACCGAUGUCUUGUAAGACAGAUCUGCAUUUUCAAAACCUAACCAACGCUGACGUACACUUAUAUUAAAUAAUUUUAGCUUAUGAAAAAUAUUUGAAUUUUGAAGAGGUUCAGAUAUUUUAAAUUGUAUCUGCAAACUUUUCAAGUGGGUUAGAUUAUUAAUCUCGGCCAAAAUGGGUUUAGCAACAGCAGAGCUAUCAUCACGCCAAAUCUCAAAGCCAUGGGGUAUAUGCAAUUCUUCAAGUCUGGAUAGGCUGGAAAUGGUAUUUGGCAUGAUUCUCAAUCCUUCCCCCGUAAUUUCUAGCUUUUGAAGGUAUUUCAGCUUUGAUAAAUCCAGAGGAUCUAGAAAAAUACCAUACAAAAUGCAAAGAGUUUGUAGGUUUUCAGGAAAAAAGCCAACAUUUUUGUUGUUAAUGUGAGUCACCUGACUCAGGUCACAACAAUCUAAAACCAACGUCCUUAGUUUACCCAAGGAUUGAAGAGUAGUGAACGGAAGCUUUGGAGGAUAACUGAGACCACCUUCAACAUAUAAAAAUCUCAGAUUCGAAGACAUGCUGAAAAAUCUGCCCUCGAGUGCAAAGGCUGAAAAAUCUAUAUCAUUUUUGCAUAGUAUCCACAAGCUAUGCAGAUUUGGGAAUACAAGAUCAUCAGGGAUAUGAAUAUUAUUACCAUCCAGAUCUAGACGUAAAUAUUUGGUAGUCUCAACAUCAGCAACAUCAAGCAACUGCACGUCACAUUUUACCUGUGAAAAUGCAAAUUUUGGAUCUUUGAACGCUAUAGAUCUCCCUACAGCUCUGAUGAGGUCAUGAAGUUUGAUCCUAUCAUCUUUUUUACAAUCGAGCAACAAAGAAGAUGAUCUGAGAGUAUCAACCAUUGAUAGUACCCUAGAUUCCCCAGAUACAAGCUGUGACCCGGUUGCCAACCGGAUAAGCUUCGAGAUCGGGAUGUCAGCAUCUUCGUUGAACAAGCAGCACAAAAAGAGACAUGACUUUGCAUCGUCUGGCAAUUGAUCGAUACUCAAUUUUACACAAAAAUAUACUUCUCGAUCUAUUCCAGAAAUCUUUUCAAAGCUACCCUUCUCAAGUUGUUCAAGUGCAUCCUCCCAUGAACUGAGAGAUUUGAAUUUCAAGGCUUUACCGACUGCAUGAAUUAGGAGUGGUAAACCCUUGCAUUUUUUACACACAUUUUUUGCCAGAGAUUCUUCCUGCAAAGAAUUAAAUCGAGCAGUACCGACCACUGCGCUAAACUGAUCCCACGCUUCAUCAUUUGACAGGGGUUUGAUCUUUACAGGAGUCUUGCAAUUGUUAUGCAAGCAUGCAUCUUUCUCCCGAGAUGUCAAGAGAAUCUUGGAACCCAUAGGACUCUUUCCAUCACCACAUGGAAUUCCAAUAACAUCCAGAGGAAUUUCCUUCCAUACAUCGUCGAGUAUGACGAGUGUCUUGCCUGCAUUCAAUAAACAUUGCUUCAGCUGAGAGGCUCUGCUUUCCGCAUUAUCUUUCGAAUCAAAGGUGCAACCAAGAUGCCCAGCAAUCUGUUCCUGUAGCUGUAUCACAUCCAGAAUUUCAUUACCCACGUUCCCUCUCGUGACCUUGUUAAAGAUCUUCUUCUCCUUGGCUUCUUUCCAUAGUUGUUCCAUCAUCCUGGUUUUCCCUACUCCGGGCAUUCCAUAUAUACCAAGGAUCAGAGAGCUAUCUGUGGUCAACGCUUGCCAUAGCUCCGCAUAAGCAUCUUUCCUGGAUUGAAAAUCCUGGAACUCUGUAGUACUUUUUGGUAAAUUUUCAUUUGGCGCAGGAUGUGCAAUUUCAUCAGCCAAGAGCUCCUUUCCCGAAUUAAUGAGCUCAGUCAGCCUCUCUGUCUUCUUCACCGCCUCUCUGCCGAGUCGAAACCGAGAGACAGGGUUAGGAAUAGGCAGACACUGAAUGAACCUCCAUGAAUGUCUGUUUUUGUAUCUUUCUGCAAACUCUUGGGCACUCUCCUUGAUUUCUUCAGCCUCUUUCUGCCACUUGAAUACACGAUCCUCCAUAAUUUUACCAUUAGCUCUUUCUGCAGCAACUUUUGUGGACACCCUUUCCUCCUCAGUGUUAGCUUUUUCGACUUGGGAGUCGAGAGUCUUGACAAGAUCCUUGUAACAGAACAUGUAACGGAAUCCACGGAAGAUGGUGUCAACUGCAGCAUCAGAUAUUCUGUCCACAAGUUUCCCCACGAAUGGAAUGUCAGAUAAACCAACCAUGAUUCUUACUUGCUUCUAAUUUUUUUUCCUGUAAUUGUGUAACAAGAUGCAGUAGAACAACUUAAAAUGCAAUUAAAGAAUAAGAGGGGAGAAGAAAAGGAGCAAACGGAACAGGAAGUCAAGCUGAGCAGUUGAAUAGUAAGGGAGCAGAAGAGCAGCAAGAAUGAGUGGUGGAUACACUGCGUUAUCUUGUAAUAUGACAAUACAAACAAACAAAGAUGAGAGUUUGAUUCUAUGAGUUGAAAUUUCAAAGCUACUUUAAAUCAAAUAGUAAAAUUAAAAGAUGCACAGUGGAAAACUUUGCUGGACAAUAAUUCUCCCAACAUUAUUGAGUUUCAAAAGGUAUAAUUUAAGUAAGGAUUGGAUCCCUAAGACACAUAUAUAAUUAAGUAGCAUACGUUUGCCGGAGAAAAAUUUAUGAAAAAUUACUUCUAGGUUUCACGUCCAACGCUUUUUUCACAAUGAACAUAUGCUACUAUUAUAUGUUCUGGACUACCCUUUAAGUAAAUGGUGGACCAAUUGAGUUUCAGAAAGCAUCAAUCUAAGUAAAUGGGUGGACCAAAAAAGCUCCGCGGCAGCCUUGUUUUCUUAUCGUUCCAGCUAGUCAAAAUACAUUAAGAGCAUUUUUGUUUAAACUUUUAAGUAAUGAUUCUCACUCUCAAGUUAAAGUUUCUACACGCGGUUUAAAGUUUAAACCGUACGUCUACACUUACGAGGUCUUGUCCUGUUGUCAUUUUGCAUAGCUUGGUGAAUCGGACUAUGGCACGGUGUUCUGUUGUUCAGUUUUCGUUGUUGAAUGGUGUACUGCCUAAGGACACAGCCUUAAAAAUUUUUACUAAUUGAAGUUUGGGAGGGUUAGGUUGUCCAAGUAUUUUAACUUCAUGGUCGGAUGUUAUUUUGAGUUUUAUAAAACUUGUUUCACAUGCAAUGCAAUCAAUUCUCCUUUGUAACUCAUUCAAGGUUGCAACAAUUUGUUUAUGUCUCAGAUGUAAUUUCAAAAAUGUUUGGUAAAACAACUGCAGUAGUUAGUUACUCUGCAGUGCUCGAUCAUCACCUCGGUGAUACAGUUUCCAUUACUGGUAUUGGGUAAUAAACAGAUUGGUGCUCAUUUUGGACUAGUUGAUGAAUUAUACAUUCACACAUUUGGACUACUCGAAUGCUAGUAAUCUUGAGCAAGUCUAAUAGUUACCUAUCCUAUUACUUAUAAAUAAUAUUAAAUAAUAUAAAAUAAUGAGUGCUAGUAUGUCUUAGUGAUUUAGGUAAUCUAUUUUAGUGUCAACUCCAAUAGUAAUCCUUCUAUUUGUUCUCCUAAGAUUAUUUUAAUAAUAAAUUUGAGAGAGAAAAAGGGGAAAAGAAGAGAAUAGACAAAGAAAAAGGAGAGAGAUGAUUAUUUUAUUCAUAAAUAUUAAAUAGAUAAUGCCUAGGGGCUACUUAUAAAUAGGUAAUGGCUAGGAGAAUUAAGGUUGUGCGAGCGAUUUAGGAUAACACUAGGAUAGUGUUGGAGUGCAUUUUUUUGACACAUUACCUAAAUGUGAGUUUAGGACAUCAUAUAAGUAACCUAUUGGACUUGCUCUGGCCUCCUUUUUAAUAUUUCAUCAUAAAGGGAUAAUUAAAUUAUAGCUCUAUGAACUAUUGACGUUUUAUUGUCUAGGUUCCUGAAUUAAAGAUUCGGUAUUUUAGGUCACUUAACUUUUCUGUUUUCUUAUCUAAGUCCUUCCGUCAAAUAGAUUCUAACGGUGUUAACUAGGGUUCUUGAUGUUACUACGGAUCCAAGCAAUUUUGAAGGUGUUAGUGAUAUCCAAAUUUAAAGUUCAAGUAGUCAAAUUAAAGUUUGAAUCACUAGCGACCCUCAUAUGACACCAAUUUUCACAAAUUGGAUUUAAUUUAGAAAACCCUAAAUUAGACCAUAAAUUUAAGGUUUGUUAGGUCCAAAGUAUCGUAGAAGGGGGGGUUGAAUACGAUACUCACUACAAUUUAAAAUUCUUUCGAAUCUUGCGGAUAAAUAAAUUGCAGUCUGUAAUGGGUUUCGUGUUCCGGAUAUUUAUUGGGUCGGUUUCUGAGGAUAUGAAAAUAUUAAACCAACACACAAUAUUUUCCAAGGUAUAUCUGUAUAUUGAUAAAUACCUCGAAGGGUGCUACAAAUCCAAACCCGAAGGUUGGCUACAAUGACCACUACUCUCAAUAUUACAAACUCUAACCGCUACGGAUAUUUCUAUUACAAAGCUAGACUAGAGUGUAUAUAUAGUGGGAGUAGCCGUGCAGAGCACUUGGCCAUUUCAUCCCGAAGGAUGAUCUAAAUUGUGAGAACCACAAUCACAUAUUUAUAGGCUUUCAUAAACUAACCAUGGUUAACGAGUUCGUCCUGGACGACUUGAGUUCGUCCUGGACGAGUUCGAUUUAUCAAAAUAAAUCUAACUCCAAAUGUAUGCAGGAAGUGGCGCCAACUUUAUAUACAUAUAUAUUUGUAUAUAUAUAUAACAAAGUUGCGCCUCAAUCACCACUUACUGCAUUGCCUUUACUUGGAAUAAAUCUAAGUAGAUGGUGUGAAGGAGAGUGCAAGGACAGGAGGCGCAACAUUUGACUUUUGGUCAAAUGUUGCGCUUCAACCUUCAGUAUACAAUGCUCUCUUGAAUUUGCACUUAGAGAAUUCUUCAGGGAGGAAAGUUGCGCUUGGACGAGAGUGAGAGUGGGUGGCGCCAACUUUGACCUCGAGUCAAACGUUGCGCCCACACCGGUAUAUGUACACUGUAUGUAUUAUGGGGAGCCUUGCCUUAGUUUCUUUAAACCACAAUUUGAAUUGGCGCCUCACUAGUGAAGGAACUCCCCUUGAUCUCUCUCCUUGGACCACCAUUGACUUGAACUUGCGCCUGUAUAUACACAGAGUGUGUAUAGGCGCAACUUCACUCAACACUUAGCCAAUAUUACUCAAAUGCUUGAGUUGGCGCUGUUGUUCCCACUGUGCACACUCUUAUCUCUUUUUAACUUGCGCUCAAAGGAGCCCUGUAUACUACUGCCUUAGAUUUAUUUCCACUUAGCUUCAACAGUAGAUACCAGGUGCUUUAGGGUUCAUGCACAUGCAAACCCUAGAGUGCCCUAGACACCUGACAUCAUCAUAUGCAUGCAUAAUAUAUAUAAUAUAAUAUAUUAUGUUGUGAUUAUAUUAAUAAAUAAAAGUAUAUAUAAAUAUAUACACACAUAUAUAUUAUUUAUAUGAACAUAUAAUAAUAUAUGUACAUAUAUUUAAAUAUAUUCUCAUAUAUUUAAAUAUAUAUAAUAUAUAAUUAUAUGUAAAUACAAAUGUAAAUAUAUAUAUAAAUAUAUAUAGAGAUAUAUAUAGUUAUUUAUAAAUAUAAAUAUAAACAUAAAUAUAUAUAAAGAAAAGUAUAUAUAAAUAUAUACAUAUAUAUAAUAUUUAUAUAAACAUAUAGUAACAUAUAUAUACACAUAUAUUUAAAUAUAUUCUCAUAUAUUUAAAUAUAUAUAAUAUACAUAUAACUAUGUGUAAAUAUAAAUAUAAAUAUAUAUAUAAAGAUAUAUAUAACUCUCUCUAAAUAUACAUAUAUUUAUGCACAUAAUAUAAUAUAUAUAUACACUUAAUUAUAUAAUUGCUUAUGUAAAAUAUAAAUACAUAUACUAUAUACAUAUAUAUUUAUUUAAAUAUACAUACAUAUAAAUAUACAUAUACAUAUGUUUAAAAACAUAUAUACAUAUAUAUUAUAUAUAUUAUAUUUAAUUAAAUAUACAUAUAUACAUAUAUAUAAAUAUAUUUGUACAUAUACAAAUAUAUAAGUGCACACAUAUAAAAGAUAGGUCACUUCCUGAUAUGGCUUUGUGUGGAAGCUUGACAUAUGACAUUUGAGCAGUAGACUUGAUACAGCUUGCAGAGGCUAGGCAUUUGGCUUGGCUUUGGAACAAAUGACUUGUUAUGACUUGAUCAAUUCUUCGAUUGAUAAAUACUUUGCAAACUCCGUACGUGCUGACGCUUAGUGCACUGGUCUGGUUCACAAGCGACUAACACUGAAGUCAAACAUUGUACCGUCUUUGUCAGCAAACAUUGAUCAGUCGGUUCCGGGUUAGUUUAUGCUUCAGUUUGUUGAUUAUAAAUAACCAACCAAGAUAUAUAGAAAUAUCUUGCUUCAGGGGUUGCACUGAAAUCUUUCGAGUACUUGGACAACAUCUUCAUUGCUUCCACAAUCUUGAAUACUUCAAUCUUUAUUCUUCACUGAGGCAUGAACAUAUUAAUGAACUUCUUCCAGUGAACUUAUUCCUUCAAGACUGUAGAUGGCUUCUUCAACCUUUGUCUUCGUAUCUUCCGAUUCCGGUGCAGGCGUAGUGUUAUUUACUUGUCCUGUUCUAUUGUUGAGUUAUCAUCCCUAUGUAACAGAUAGGGUUGUCUUUACAUUUAGACUUACAAUAUCCCCCUAUUUGUUUGUUAAUCAUAACAAGCAAAUCCUCUGGAGGAUAACUCAACUAACACUAGAAAAAGUAAAGUCCUGGACUAGUAAAUAAUGCUACAAAGUUUCUGGAUCAUAUAAUACAUUUCCAGAUUUCAUGAAUAGAAAUAACAAAUGUGCAUAUCACCUUUAUUUCUCUGGUUCUUGCUUACCUGCCAGAUAAUCCUCAUAGUCUGUCUUGAAGAGAAUUCAAAACAUUCCAUUAUGCAAAGAACAAUCAGCAGCUUCAUUGAAUUCUUCAGUGGUAAUGAAUAAGUUCCUGUCUACCACUUACUGAAGAAUAAAUGUAUCACCUUAUACUUCUCCUCCCGUUACCUUGAUCAGGUUCCCCUUAGUGAUAAGUAGUUGUCUCCCCUUAGAUGAAAGAUCAAUCCUCCUCCUUAGUUGAAAGAAGAAUCUCCCCCUCAGUAGUACACAGCUAAAGAGUAGUUUAAUCCCCCUUAGUUGUAGACAGCAGAAGAAAGCUAACUUACUUUUUCUUCCCCCUUUCAUAUAUUCUCCCCCUAAAUAUAUUCUCCCCCUUAGUUGUGGAAUCCUCCGAGGAUAUGUGGUAUCAAAUAUGGUCAAGGAACGUGUACAAUACUUCCUGUACCAAAAGAUAAUCUCCCCAUAGAGAACUAAACAACGCUAAAGCUGGGGUCGAAGAAAGAGUUCAGAAGAAGGGUUUACUUUGAUUGGGUUGGUCCCUAUGCUGAAAGAAUAGGUUCCAAACGGAAAAGUAAUGAGUAAAAACUGACAUUCCAGUAACAACAUCCACUUUGUCUUUAGGUAUAAAUUUGGUAAUUAGUGGGUGUCUCACUAAAAUGUUCUGCAGGUGUAUCACUCAACACUCAAUUUUCUCUCGGUUUUUGGGUAAGGGUGUCACUCACGAGUUCUGUAAGUGUAUCCCUCCACACAAAUACUGAGCUUCCAAAAUGCUGAGUACCUGCAAGAAAAUCACCUUAGCCACCCUUAAAGGGGGUCACCGGUGGUGCAAUGGGAGUUCGUAAUUCCCAGUCCCUGCAGACUCAUCAGAUAAAUCCGAAUCAUGGUCCACAAGUUGCCAACCACUAAGUGGCUUAUCCAAUUAAGGAUCCAGAGUUGUUUGCUCUGGGAGGUUAGACAAAGGCUUAAUUAUGGCAAAGGCCUAAGUCCUCCUCAAUGUCUGUGAAGACACUUGAUUCAAGAGAAUCAUCAACCAUAAGUUCACACCGUGAAAUGGAAUGAACCGUAGUUGCUUCCGUCAAUUCUUUCAACAACUUGUGAGCUUUCAAUACCAAUUAUUAUUAUAUGUACCUCACAAGUGUUUCACUCUUCUCAAUAUCCUAUGUGUUUGCACUCACUCAUGCUCACAUAUUUCUCAUUCUGAUAUCUCACUGGUUCUUCUCAGAAUCUCACCAAGUGUUUAACUCUCAGUGUUUGGCUCACAGUGUUUCUCUCAGCACUCAAAGUAUGGUCUUCUGUACCUGCAUGAGAAAAUCACCAUAGCCCCUUCAAGAGAGGUCACUGGCGGUGCAAUGGGGUUUCGUAAAUCCCCGAUCCUCAACUGACUCAUCAAUAAAUUGACUCAUAGUCAGAGAGUUGCCGAUCUCCUAUAAAUAGGAAAUCCAUUCCGAUUGGAUCCAGAUCUGUUCUUAUCUGGGGAGGGAGACGAGAAUCCUGAAGAUUUGGCAAUUGAGAUCCUCGUUUCCUCCUUACACCUGUAAAGGCAUCAACCAUCUUAUCUACCGUAAAAUGGUAAAUGAAGAAGUUGCUUCUGGAACAAAACCUUUAACCUUACUGUGCACUCUCUUGUAUUGUGUCCAUAAGAUUUUUUUUUUAGGCUCUUCAUCAGAGUGAUUACUGAUGAUGUGCUUGACUCAAUACAAGAUGCUCUGGCUGACGAGCGAAUUUCAAUGGACUCAUCCUGUUGAGAGAAUGAUUCCAGAGACUGUUUUAUUGCCUUUUCAGCUCUAUAUUCUUUUGAGAGAAUACAGAUGAGCAACAGUUACCUCAAGUUUGAAAACACCUUUUCUUCUUGAGAGGUAGAGCUGUGGGUACACUAUCCCUCACAUCCUUAUUUGCUGCAACAAGUACAGUUUCUCCCUCAUUGACCUCUAGUCUAAUAAGUUCCUUAUUACUCCAGGGGGAAAGUUGGGAUGUGUUCUGAAUUUGGUUUUAUAGUCUGGGAUAAAGAUUGUUGGUUUUCAACCUUAUGACUAUCUAGGAAAGCCAAGAGGCUGAUUAAGUUCCGAAGAACAGAAAGAGAUAUAAAUGCAUUUUAGAAAAUCUAUGAUUUUGAAUGAAAGCAAUUGCAUUUAAUCUUUUGAGGAAAAAUGAAUCAGUUGUGAUUGUAAAAAUGAUUUUCAUAAAGAAUGACAAUCACAACCGAUGAAAGAAUCAAAGUUUUCCAUUAAAAACUGGUUUGAGUACGAGAGUCUGAAUCUAUGCAUAAAAGGUUUAAAUGAACUUGUCUUUGAAAAAGACACAGACUCCUGUUUCUCACUACAAUUUAAAAAAGAAACAAGAAAAUUUAUGCGCUACAGUGUAUAAAGCACUCGCCACACUAAUUAGUGAAAAGGCCUCAUACUAGCACAUCGUCAAAACAGACGCUGCAAGUGACAAAGAUCACCAAGUACACAAAUACAAGAUAAUCAAUGUCUCGUCCUAUGACGCUACAUGUAUAGAUGCAAAAUAUUCUAAGAAAUAUUUAUGAAAUAGAGUAGUGGAUACCAAUUGUUGAAAUCAAUUGAUAAGAAAAUUUCUUUGAAGAAACUCACCACUCCAGAACAUAAAUAUGAGACAGAAUAAAGAUUAUGUUGUCUCCCUUGUACUCAGAAUAUUAAACACCUAAAAUAUAUUAGCACCAGUGGUUUUAAGAAAUAUGCAACAAUAUUUCACCAGUGCCAAUACAUCACAAUCAAUUCACAAAUAAAACAUCAAUAAAGCAUCAAAAAUAGAUACCAAUUAAAUAUUUCAAAAAUGAAUUAAUCAUGCUUCUAUUAUUCUAUCAAAGUCAAUCAUGAAACAAAUAAGCAUAUAAUUGUCAUGGAUCACAAUUUAACUAAGAUAAAAUAAUAAUUACCUACGCAAUAUCAUAUAAUUAUCAGAUCAGCAUAUAACAACUAAAAUCAUGACAAUCAUACAAAGAUAUUCGCAAGCCCGAGGGAAAGUUGAAGAAAAGUUCACGAGUCUUAUACAGAUAAUCAUUAAACACAAGUGAACUCACACAACUCCUCGCAGAAAAUAUUAACACUUAAUAUUAGUGAUCUACAUAUAAGCAUGCAAAAAUAUCACUAACACUAAAAGUAUCACAACUAUAUGCAGUUAGACAUGAAAUAAAAUAUCAAUUAAUAAAUCAUCAAAUAUCCAACACAAAUAGUUAUGCUUCAAGUAUAUACACUAAUAUAAAUGGAUUCAGCCUAGAGAGAAUCUAAGUAACUCCACAAAUACUAGUAUAUCAUGACUAAAUUCUAACUAGAUUCUAACCACAUACCAAUUACUGAUACAAGUCACAAGUCUAGAAACAAAUAAGUCAUGCUUCAGAUUUUAUACCUAUAAAAAUGAAUUCAACCUAGAAAAUAAUCCUAAGUAUGUUCACAAAUACAGAUAUAUCACGACUAGAUUAUGACAAAGUUCUCUACUAGAUACCAAUUGUUGAAGAGGUAUAGAUCAAGAAAAAUAACAUAAUUAAGUCAUGCUUCAUGUCAUCUCUAAUCAUUUAAAUCAUGAACAAAUAAGUCACUUAAUUGUCAUGCAACACAAUUUAAAUAAUUUGAAAUAACAAAUACUCAUGCUAAAACAUAUAAUCACCAUCUAAGCAUGCAAAUCAAUAAACAUGGCAAUCAUAUAUAAUAGCAAAAAGCACGAGGUACUGGAUUUUAAAUAAAUUCACAAGUCCUAUGUAUAGACAAUUUAAUACUCAUGAAUUCAUUCAAGAAAUACGAUAGACAUGCUCAUGAAAGAAGUAAUACCUUAUAGAAAAUAUAGUAUGUGAUCUACUUGCAGUUAAGUAAAGUGAUAAGUUGAAUACCUCUGAGACUUGACAUUUCAGUUGAUGUACCUUUCUUGUACUGAUCAAGUCCAGUGGUUGUUGGCAUAAGUCUUGGCAGGUCUAGAAUCUUCCAAAAUGCGCAUAUUCAAAAGAUCCUUGACUUCCUUUUAUUGCCAUCAUUCUUUAGGCUAACUAGUAGACCAUAAAGAAUUGCAACUUUCCAACAAACUCAUCAUAUCACUAAUCUGCAUUCACUUAGCAAUUAUCUUGCACAAGUGACGUUAGUCCACAUAUAAUAUAAUCAUGGUAUCACAGCACAGAUAGUUGUAUUGUGUGUGCCUUGUAUCAUGAGAGGUAAUAAUUUGGAUACCAAAUAUGACUCUAGCAAACAGAUAUUAAAAUAAUAUGCUAGUCAGAAGUCAUACCAUGUCCGUGACGAUCAUCAGGUGUUGGAUAGCAACUCAUAGAGAGCUGGUGAAGAAAGAGAAUACAAAUUCCGUUGGAUCUGCAACUGCAAAGUCCUUGAAAUGUUGCAUGAAGCUUCAUCUUCUAGCUCACUGUAAUAUCCUGAACCCGAGUCUCGUCAAUGGUGCUUUAGUUCAAUCAUGAAGGUCGUUGAGUCCCCUAAGAUGUAGAGUCCUGAACUUGAAGAUUCUAUUUCCAUCAUCUUCAUAACCUUCUCCUUUGUAGUAACUCUAAGCAACCAAAUUGGCUUGUCCCUCGUAACAGAGCCAAAAACAUCCAGUUGGAAUCUAAAUACCCGACAAGUACUAAGUACUGAAUUGUCAUUAGGUCAGGGUAUCAGACUCCGCACAAUCUGCUUUCAAACUGACUGAGAUCAUCUUGCUGUGCAAUCACUCAAUCUGGAUCCCAUUAAGAGCUUCUGAAUCUUCCUCAAGUUUCACUUCAGAUUGAAACCCAAAGAAAUAACAUCCUUUCACAAUAGCUCUCCCAGUCUUCACUUCACCGUUAGGAACAUUUAAGAACUAGAACCCGGGAAUGAUAUUGACUCCAAACCCUUUGUCUAAGCAGAUACGUUCUUGAUAUGUCCUGUUCAUCUUGUGUGGUGUUGAGUUUGACUAGUGGAUCUACCAAAUGCUCCCCCUAAGCUGUUGCUGGGAUUUCUUUAAUAAUCCUUAUCCUUGCAAAGAGAUUCUGCUUGGAUCUGAAUCAUUAUUAUACCAAUAAUAUCACCUUUAACAGCUUGGAGCAAAGUGUCGUUCAAUGUCCUGUCCAGACUUACAAUCACCUUCUGUUGAUUAAUCACAAUCACCCUGUAGACUGUAGACUCCAUAGAGUAGCCGAGGAAAAUAUUCUUUGAUCUUCAAAUGCAAGACUUGCAAAGAGGCAUUUUCCUCCAAACACAUACCAAGAGUUAGUGUUUGCUUCUGAUUGGCCACUGACAAGAAUGGUGUCUUUCUGGAUUUAUCAAUGAUCAGGGUUCAUCUUGAUCAACCUUCAUUUGUGACGUCUUGUCCUUCGAACACAUACGAACAACACGAAAGAAUCUAGAGUAGUCAAUGAUCAUCGCAAAAAGAUAUCUGGCUUUGUUUGCAGACAUGACAUUAGCUGAUCCGUAGAAAUCCAUACGUAUCAUCUGAAGCGGCUCAGUAAUGUUGAUCAUAUCUUUGCUUCUGUGCGAUGCUCCUUCGACUUCCCUAUUGACAUACCUCAUAAUCUUCAUCCAUAUUGAAUUCCAGAUGAGGUAGUCCUCUCACCAAUUCUCUUCUUACGAAUAGAAAGAGCUCCUUGUUUUGACAUACAAGUGCGAGAGCUUCAAGUGCCAUAGCUAAUACUCAUCUGAUGAGGCUUCACUAUCAAAACAGCUCACUCCAUCUUCAGUUGAAGUUCCAUAUUAGCUACGAGCAAAAUUCACAUCCUUCCUGAUUUGAGAUAAAACACUAUUCCAUGAACUGACAUACUGUCAUUUGUUAGAGAACAGUCUGAUACUAGGAAUUUGUGUGCUUUGACUCUUCCAAGAAAGAUAUGCUUCCAUGAUGACAUUCCAGGAAAACAGGCAUGUCCCGCAAGAGAAUCUUUGUUGUCAUCUUUCAAAGAUUAUUGACGGAACUGCUCACAUGAUCACAUUUGCUAACAGGGUACUUUUGGUGAAUCAUAUGAUUUCAGCUACUCAGCAAACAGAGUGCACCAAAAAUCAUAUGGAACAUAUGUAACCUGCAAUCACAAAUGGAAAGAGUUCUAUGGUCCCCAAUCAUAACUGGGUCCGGAUGGAUUAGAGAUUUUUCUUUAACAGUGGUAACAACAGAAGCAACCUUAACAUGCUAAUUCUUAUCUAGACAUUGCCCUAAUGUGAUUCUCAAACAUGCUUUUCUAAAAUCAAUGCAAGUACAAAGACAUGCAUUCAUGACAUGAAAAUAAGCAGACAUGAUGUUGAAUACACAUGGCAAACAAUCAAAGAUAAGACAAGAGCAAGACAGGCAGUUAUGCAAUUCAGAAGAUUCAGUACUCUCUACUUAAACCAAUUAACACAAGUGCAACAGGUAGCAAGUAGAAUUACAUAUAUUCAAUAAUCUUCUAAAAGCAUAAGGAUCUGAUUCCAAUCUGUUGUUAUAUGGCAUUAUACUAUCUCUAUUACCUAAGUCAGUUUUAGAUCUAACAUGAAGUUCUAAAAGUUCUACUGACACAAGGUAGACAUUCCAUCAUAGAACAAAAUAAAAUCCUUAACAAACAAUUCAGAUUAGAUAAGCAAAUCUAAUUGUACUAGGGAAUCUGAAAGUAAGUGUUUUAACAAAGUUAUACAUGCUAGGAUCAUAACCCCUAAAACUAAGAGUUGUGUUCCAAAGGAAAGCUUCUAAUCUCACCAUUGCAAAUAAUCAAAUCCUAAAUAUUCAUACACAUGUUAAGAAUCUGCUAAAGACACAUGCACAAGAUUAUCAUCAAUCCUAGUUACCAGAACAGUGAUCUAGCAUACUAGUUCAACAUUAUCUAUUGUGAUGCUAUCAUGCUUGUGCUUGUGUGUUAAACAAUUCUACUCAGAGAUUUAUAACAUGCUUUGAAUAUAAAGAAAUAUGUAUUGCAUAGUUAGAAAGAAUUCGUACCUGAGAUGUGCGAGUUGAGUCAUCUUCAGAGAAUGCUAGGAUAGCCAGAUAACCAUAAUCAUCCUUCUCAUCAGCAACUGAUCCAGCUCACACCUUUCCUAAAAUAGCAUAAGAACUUGUUGUGAUGUUUCUUUCAAAACAUCCACUUGAAUUUCAGACAAGCCCUAUCAUCCUUGUUUGUCGAGGCUUCAAUAUAUAUAGCAACCCUUAUUUGCUAAAGAUACCAAACAAUAUUGUGUGUACUGACCAACUCAGUUUUCAAACAACCUGUCGAAUUGAACCCCGAAGAGUCUCUGAAACCAAUGGAUUCCAUCUGAAUCUGACAUGACUAAACCUCUCAGACAGUGUUAUGCUAAUCCUUGAAGUUCUGUCCUCACAUUCUUCAAAAGUGUUAACUUUCGUCGACUUGAGCUUCCUCAAAUUCAGCAGUUACAAACUCUUCUGUUCAAUCCUAAGGUUCUGACAUAAAUGCACGAAACUGAUUUGGUGCGGUAGUAACUCGAUAAUUAUAUCCUUAAACCUCCACAGUUCUCUGUCUUUGGUUCAGUUGAUUCUGGAUGGAUUUAGCAUUGAUACAAUUCACUGUGUAAUUGUAUAUCCCUGAAUCACUGAGUUAGAUUGAAAUCCCUUGAAGAUUCGUCCGUAAAAACUUCUCUUUUCCUACUACCAGUGGUGCCAUUCAAAGUUGACAUUCCGAGCCCUGGGAAGAUGCUUCACUGCAUAUAUAGCAAAUUCCCAUCCUGAUCUGGUGAUCUGAUGAUCAAGUCGGAGUAAUUACUCAGAUCAAGGCCUGAAGUACCUUCUUCAAAAUCCACUUUUAGUAGUACCAAAUUAGUCUUCAAUAGAAUCUUCUUCGAAUCACAAUCAGCUUUGUCGAACAUAGAAAACUGCUUCUAAUAAUCCUUUGAGAAAUCAAUUGGAUUGGGUCAUCAAUGUACUUCCAUUACCGGUUCUGAGAAUCUGGUAUUUGAAAGCCCGGUGUUUGUCUUGUAAUCUGUCAGCCUGAUCUGUCUCAACUAAAUGUCAAUCUGAUUUGUCUUGGAGUAGAAUAAUUAAAAAGGUUACGGGACACUUGAUUAUUUAAACUAAGUUUAAAUUAUAAAGAAAAUAAAUUUAAAAAUAAGUUUUAAAAGAUGAAAGAAAAUAAAGUAUAAAAUAAACUUAGUUAAAUCUAUAAAGUAAAUUUAAUUAUAUUUAAAAAAUAAAUUCAAAUAAAUUCAUAAUAAACUGAAUAAGUUUAGAAUAAAUUUAUUUCAAAUUCAUUUAGUAAAUAUAUUAAAAUUUAUUAGAUAAAUUUAAUUUUUGAAAAUAUUCAAGUGUCUCGUCUCCAAUUAAAUCAUAGCUUCCAGAACAAAUGAAAUUGGACCCUUGAACUUGAACUUAUAUUCAUAAUCAGUUAAAUCCUCUUAAAUUUAUAUUUUAUAUUUUAUCUUAAAUUUAAAUCAUAAACUAUACAAAUUUAAAUAAUAAAUUUAUAAAAAUUUAUGAUAAACUUGAUAAAGUCUAAGAGUAAACUUUACAAGUCUAAAAUAAAUUUAAGCAAAUUUAUUAAAUGAAUUUAGUAAAGUUUAUAAAGUAAAUUUAAUUAAGUUUAUAAGAUAAAUUUAAUUAAUUCAUAAUAAACUCAAUUAAUAAGUUUAAAAUAAAUUAAGUCAAAUUUAUAAAAUAAACUUAUUAAAAUUUAAAGUAUAAAUUUAUAAGUCCCGGUCCAAAGUUCAGUAUCCGACAGAUAAUCCUUGCUUAGGCCUACGGACAAAUUCAGCAACACAAACCGGAAGAACAUUUCCCCUAAUCAAAUAUCAAAAGCUAGGUUCUUGAUUUUCCGUACGAUAAGGAUCCUGAUUUGUAUAUCAAUCAGCCUGGCUCUGAUACCAAUUGUUAGGUCCAAAGUAUCGUAGAAGGGGGGGUUGAAUACGAUACUCACUACAAUUUAAAAUUCUUUCGAAUCUUGCGGAUAAAUAAAUUGCAGUCCUGUAAUGGGUUUCGUGUUCCGGAUAUUUAUUGGGUCGGUUUCUGAGGAUAUGAAAAUAUUAAACCAACACACAAUAUUUUCCAAGGUAUAUCUGUAUAUUGAUAAAUACCUCGAAGGUGCUACAAAUCCAAACCCGAAGGUUGGCUACAAUGACCACUCCUCUAAAUAUUACAAGCCCUAUCCACUACAAAUAUUUAUGGUACAAAACUAGGCUAGGGUGUGUGUAUAUUUGAGAGAGUUUGUGCAUAGCACUUGGCCAUCCAUCCCGAAGGAUGAUGUAAAUUGUGAGAACCACAAUCACAUAUUUAUAGGCUUUCAUAAACUAACCAUGGUUAACGAGUUCGUCCUGGACGGAUUGAGUUCGUCCUGGACGGAUUCGAUUUAACAAAAUAAAUCUAACUCCCAAGUACUUGAAUUGGUGCCAGGAGAUGUUGGUUUGGGGCGCAACAUUUGACCAAGUCAAAUGUUGCGCUUCAACAAUGUUGCGCUUCAUUGCUCCUCUGUUUGGUACUUAGAAAUAAUUCCAGUAACAAAAGUUGCGCCAUGAUUGUUGAUUAGAGGAGCAACAUUUGACCAGGUCAAAUGUUGUUCCAAUAUAGUGCAUCCCUUGUAGAGUUGUGACUUAGAAAUUAUUCUAAGUCACAAAGGGUUAGUGCCAAGAGUUGUUAGUAGAGGAGCAACAUUUGACCGGUCAAAUGUUGCGCCCGGGUCAAAUGUUGCGCCUGGGUCAAAUGUUGCGCCCGGGUCAAACCUUGCGCCUUGGUCAAAUGUUGCGCCAUAGAGUGUGCAAGAGGUAUAUGGUGACUUAGAGAAAUUCUAAGGCAAAUAUGAACUUGCUCCACCAUUGUAAUGCUUCCCCUGUUAUCUCUCAUCUCUUGGGGACGAACUUUGACUUUGGUCAAAGGUUGCGCCUCAAGAGUGCUAUGUCUUCACUGUGAUGUACUUAGAGAAUUUUCUAAGUGAGGAAGAGCUGUUGACUUCGGUCAAAUGUUGUUCCUCACAUAGUAAGAGCUUUCCUUGUUAUCACUCCUUUGACUGAGAUUGACUUGAGUUUGCUCCAUCCAUAUAUUUAUAUUAUAUUCAUAAUAUUAUAUAAAUAUAUGUAUAAAUAAAGAUAUAUAUAUAAAUGUAUAUAAAUAAUAUUUAUAUAAACAUAUAGUAAUAUAUAUAUAUACAUAUAUUUAAAUAUAUUCUCAUAUAUUUAAAUAUAUAUAAUAUACAUAAAAUUAUAUGUAAAUAUAAAUAUAAAUAUAUAUAGGGAUAUAUAUAUAAUUAUCUAUAGAUAUAAAUAUACACAUAUUUAUGCACAUAAUAUAAUAUAUAUAUAUACACUUAAAUAUAUAAAUGUUUAUGUAAAAUAUAAAUACAUAUACUAUAUACAUAUAUAUUUAUUUAAAUAUAUAUACAUAUAAAUAUACAUAUACAUAUGUUUAAAAACAUAUAUACAUAUAUAUUAUAUAUAUUAUAUUUAAUUAAAUAUACAUAUAUAUAUAUAUAAUUAUAUUUGUACAUAUACAAAUAUAUAAGUGCACACAUAUAUAAAAUGUCACUUCCUGAUAUGGCUUUCUGUGGAAGCUUUGACAUAUGGCAUUUGAGCAGUAAGCUUUGGCAUAGCUGGCAUUUGGCUUGGCUUGGCUUUGGAACAAAUGACUUGAUAUGACUGGAUCAAUUCUUCGAUCGAUAAAUACUUUGCAAAGCUCCGUACGUGCUGACGCUUAGUGCACUGGUCUGGUUCACAAGCGACUAACACUGAAGUUAAACAUUGUACCUUCUUUGUCAGCAAACAUUGAUCAGUCGGUUCCGGGUUAGUUUAUGCUUCAGUUUGUUGAUUAUAAAUAACCAACCAAGAUAUAUAGAAAUAUCUUGCUUCAGGGGUUGCACUGAAAUCUUUCGAGUACUUGGACAACAUCUUCAUUGCUUCCACAAUCUUGAAUACUUCAAUCUUUAUUCUUCACUGAGGCAUGAACAUAUUAAUGAACUUCUUCCAGUGAACUUAUUCCUUCAAGACUGUAGAUGGCUUCUUCAACCUUUGUCUUCGUAUCUUCCGAUUUCGGUGCAGGCGUAGUGUUAUUUACUUGUCCUGUUCUAUUGUUGAGUUAUCAUCCCUAUGUAACAGAUAGGGUUGUCUUUACAUUUAGACUUACAAGGUUUUUGAUCGAAUUCAGGGACCUAAAUUUAUAAUUUUUUGAAUUGGACCUAGUUUGUGAAAAUUGGUAUCAUAUGAGUGUCGCUUGCGACACAAACUUAAAUUUGACUACUUAGAACUCUAAAUUUGGAUAUCACUAACACCUUCAAAAUUGCUUUGAUCUGUAUGAAACUCAAGAACCCUAUUUAACACCGUUAGAAUCUUUUGACGAAAAGACUUUGAUCAGAAAACAGAAAAGUUAAAGUGAUCAAAAAUACGGAAUCUUUAGUUUAGGGACAUAAAACGUCAAUAUUUCAGGAAUCUAUAACUUAUUUUUUCCUAUAAUUGACAAGAUGUUUAUGUAAAUAUAUUUUUAUUAGGUGUUUAAAUAACUAUUUUAUUUAAGUAAGUUAAACCCUGAUGUGUUAAAUUAUAAUAACUAACCGCAAGCGCACGGUGUCUGUUGUAGUGCAGACUGGCAAAUGCGAGUCGUAUCCUCAAGGAGACAGAUGCUAUCAAUUUUAUUCAGUCACAGUCAAUUGUUUCCAGAUCAAACGAUUAUGAGAAAUAUUUUUUAACUAACUAAUACGACUAAAUAACACUAGCUAAAAAGACAAGAAAAUAAUAUAUUAAAAAUCCAGGGCAAUCAGGUCCACCAUGCUUACACAAUGACUGGCUCUAAGCUAAAGCAAUUAAAGCGGUCAUGCAACUAGAGUUUGUUAAUCUCUCUCAAGUAUCAACACUCUCGAAACAUGAUUACACAUAUAAUCACUUUGAGUAAUUGAAGCAAUGUUAAUCUCUCUCGAGUAUUAACGCUCUCAGAAAUCCAAUGAUGCUCUCGCAUUCAAAUUCAAUUAUGCUAAUCGUAUGUGUGCCUCUAGUGGUAUAUCUCUCGAUUAUACUCCUAUUCGCAUAGAAUCAAUUUAUGAUAUCGGCCGAUUACACAAAUCAAUAUUAAAACAUAUUCAACUAGAAUUAACCAAUCAAUCAAAUCAUUGUUAAAUCAUGCCAAGAUCAUAGUGCAAACAUGGCUUCCCCUUAAGCCCUAGAACACACUACUCGACAAUAAUAAAAUAACUAAAACAAGUAGAAUAAUAAAGACAUAUAAUUAUAAGCCUCUCUACCUAAUCCUAAUUCUAAUCUAAUAUUGUACAAUGAUAAAAACUAUUCCUAUAUUUCAAAUAAUAAAAGUCUUUUUAAUAUUUAAAACUAAUAUACAAAUAGAAAUCCAAAACAAGAUAGGAUUUUCUCUCAAAAUUCGUAACUGACUUUGCUGCUCUGUUUUCGGGCCUUUUCAGUUGGACUUUGCUUCUUGGACCACUUCUGAAUUAAAGAAAAUUGCAAGGGCUUCGCGUGGGCUAUAAGAACGUCCAAAUCUGACAUCCGGAACUCAAGAUAUGGCCCAAACAUGGUAGAAAUCGGGUUGAACCCAAUAAAUCCGAAUUUUAGUAGAAAUUAGCUCCAAAAUAGCUAAUUUAUCUUCAAAUCCUUCUCAACUUAAAAUUCUUUAUUUCCUACAAUAAAACAAUAAAAAUCUAUUAAAUAAUAUCCAAAUCAAUGCAAAAUACAAUUAAAUAUAAGAAUAAAAUCAUAUAGAAUAUAUAUAAAAAUAUAUUCUAUCAAACAUCCCCACACUAAGCUUUUGCACGUCCUCGGGCAAAUAAGCGAAAUAAAAACUAAUUCCUAACUAACACCACUUUCGUAGAUGACACGAUUGCAUUGAGCGCAUGCAACAAGCCGUUACACCCCUAGGCAGCCCUAAUAGGUAGAGUUUUGUCUCGUGAGGGUUUAUAGUGAAUCUACCCACAAAAUUCAUUAUUUUCUACCAAGCGUCAAAUAUGCAACUACUAUGAAUGCAAACUAAAUGGAUAUGCCUAAAAACAAAUCAUGAAAGCAUCAACCUCGUCAAUAUAUAAUCCUCAGAAUAUGCAACAAUCAAGGCAUUCAUCUAUCUCACAUUUUAGUCGUGCAACUCUUCCACUGCAAGUGCGGAGUGCAUCGUGUGUGCUCAAUAUGCUCUCUAGUGAAACAAAACAGAGACCAACAAACUUCAACAGAGUCUUAACCAUGAGUCGUUAAUCAGAAUAAUGCUUAAACAUUUCGUUACAUUAGAGUCAACUACAGCUCAGGGUCGCAAAGAAUUUCUAUGCCUCUCUUAUUUUUAUUUUUUAUCUUUUCUUUUUCAUGCUCGGUCUAAGGUCGGGACGCUUCUCAGGGUAAGUGAGUUACGACAACCACAAGACUUUGCUAGCUCAUUUUUUCUAUUUUUUUUAAGUCAAGUAAUUCUCCAGUAACCAAGGGCUGUGAAAAGUCACCAACAAAAAUUAUUUCUAGUACAAUUGCACUUAAUACCACAGAUGCAAGGUUCAAAUCCCAGCUACCUCAUCUCUUUUUGACAUAAGUAAAUAGCCUGCUGCGAAUUUACCAUUAGACUGGAUCAUAGCAAGUCGAAUGGGCGGCAAGCAGCGGACCAAAAUCAGUUGGACUGGGCCUAGUGUGUAUGUGCUGAUGGGUCAGGUGGGCUGAGCUGCUUGAAGGAUGGGCUCGAGUUGAGAAUGGGCUACACCUGGACUCGAAUGAACUGGACUGUGGGCUGAGCUUGAUUAAUCCAGAAGGUCGGGACGCCAGUAUGCUAAAAAUUGAUUGUCGGUGUAGGCAGUCAUGCGCGCACCAAGAGAUCAGUAGAUUCUGCACCGCAGUUAGAUAUGAGAGAACCACAGCUCUUUCUUUCCUGGCGAACAGUAUUAAAAUACCAGUUUGCUUCUUUUUUUUUUCUCUUUUUUUUUAUUCUUUUCUUUUUCCCGCGUCUUCUCACGCAAAUAGAAAUAUCCGUAUCAACCUUAGGCCGCUUGGUCAGUUUUUGCCGGCUCAAUAUUUUGUUUUUUAUCUCUGAAACACUUCACACAAAUUCAUCAAGGCAUCUUAUGGGAGUAAAAAAAAUAGCAAAAAUAAAAUCUAACUAAUAUAAUAAUUUUGGGUUGCCUCCCAAUAAGCGCUCUUUUAGAGUCAUUAGCUUGACUUCAAACCUCAAAAAUUAUCUGAUGCAAGUGUAAAAGUGGGAGUAUCCACUUUCUCGAAUAUAAUCUCACCACCAUGAAUAAAGUCAUGAGCAUUAAAGAUUGUUUUUAUCCUGCAGAAAGUCUCCAAACAAGCAUUAGUAAACUUAAUUGUCACAUCAAAAAGUAACAGUUGAUCAAAAUAUUUCGUAGAUUUGGAGAACUUUAUGAUAAAACAACGAUAGAAUUCACAUCCAUGAAGAGAUUGAACUUCCUUGAUAUUCACACGAGGUGGAGGCUCGGGUGGUGGUUUUUCAGAACUCCUCACUUUCGCAGGAGUCAGUUGAACUUCUUGACAUUUCACGUCAAUGUAUAGAGAGUCAAUAUUGCAGUCUCCUUCUUCCGAGAAUUGAAGAGUAAGAGCUUUUCGGAUUGGAUCACCAAGAAACUUUUGAGAAAAAUAAUCAUGGACAAUUCUUGACAUCACGUUGACCUUGAAACCUGUAUUCUCAAGUAUAGGACUAGAGGUAAGAGUGAAAGAAAGGUUUUCAAAACCAAAACACUGAUCCACUUUACUUAUGUCAUCCAUCCGAGUAGGCAAUAAAAGUUUAGACGUAUAUGAUGGAAGAGACACAAGAACCAGCUUAGUAUUGCUUUCUUCGUUUACCUCAUCAUCACAUACAUGGUCUCUAACAACAACAUCAUUGAUUUUAUCAUCAGCAACAUGAUCUUCCUUUUUAUCAAUAGGCACAUCAUCAACACAAAUUGAAAAACUAUCACACUCUUCAUCACUUGCAAGAAUGAUAGUAUUUAUGUCAUCUUCAACCUGGAGAGACGAAGGUGGAGAAGAAUCGGGUUGCCAUGUAGUAAAAGAACCAGCCAAUUGUGCAAUUUGGGCCUCCAUCAUCAAUUGUUCAGCUUUUAGUUCUUUAAUCAUCAUGGCACUCUCUUCCAAGCUUUUCUGAAAGUUCACAAUACCAUCCUCAAAACUCUUGUUCAUAUAUAUCAACAUAUCACAUACCCCCUUUGUCUGAUUUGUUGGCACAUCUACAUUGGUUAAAGGAACCUGUAGCUCUUGUUGUAGUUGAGUAUAUGGAUAUUGUUGAAAUCGUGAUCGCUCGUAUUGAGGUUGAUAGUAUUGUUGCUCAUAUGGCUCAUAUUGUUGUAGUGGCGGUUCUUCAUAGUGUUGUUGCUGAAAUUGGUGUUGAUCAUGAUAUGAGAUAUUAUGAAAACCAUUGUCCAUGUACGAGAAAUCUGGUUGACUCGUCCAUUCUUGAUCAUAAGAGUUAGAAUACUGAUUGUACUCAUAUCCUUCUUGAUAAUCAUUCAUUGGUCCCAAUUGAGCAUUCUGAGAAUUGAAGACAUUGUACUAGCAUUCAUAAGCACGGUGACCCUGAACACCACAAACUUGAUAGAAGUUGUAAGUCUUAGGAGCAACUUGUGACAUCUCAUUGAUACUCAUUGGACUUGAAGUAGGCUUUGUAACAUUCGAUGAGGCAUAGUCACGAGUAUAUGCCUCAACCAUGGAAGAUAGAAGUGCAAAAUUAUCAGCUUCCUCCAUUGUAAACCUGAAACAAAAACACGAGCCAAGAAAACACAGUAAAAUCUACCUCACUUGGAACUAAAGUCCCAAAGAGGCGAAGGAAACAAUCUAAAUAACCAAACAAAAUCAAUAGAAGCUAGCCGUCUCCCCGGCAGCGGCGCCAAAAACUUGAUGUGUUAAAUUAUAAUAACUAACCGCAAGCGCACGGUGUCUGUUGUAGUGCAGACUGGCAAAUGCGAGUCGUAUCCUCAAGGAGACAGAUGCUAUCAAGAAAUAUUUUCCUUCUUUUUCACGCUACUUUUACUCUCAUAUCUCCUUUUUAUACCUUAAAAUCAAUGGUCCCAUCACUUCACCAUUUUUUUUUCUCUUUUUCACUAUUUUAUGCAUAUUUCUUAGCCUUCAUAUCCAAACCAGACGUAAAGAAUUGGCUGGGACCAACAUUUGCGAGUGAAAAUGCAACUUCUUAUGGAAUUUUUGAAACAAAUGCACUUUAAUAUACCUGCACAAAGUCAAGAUUGCUAUGUUAACAAUUCUUAUAUUUUACUUUUUACAAAUAAUUUUGAUUUAAUAUUCAAUUUUAUUUUAGAGAUUUUGGUAUUAAAAAUAAAUAUAUCUUUUAAUCAAAAUAUUUUAAAUGGGGACUAGUAAUGUGAUUUUUAAAAUAAAACUUUUAAAAAUAAAAUAUUUUGCUUUGACAUUUGAAUUACCCUUUUUUAUCAAGGAUUUUUUUUGUCAUAAGACUUUCACGUCAGUGAAUUGUACAGAAAUACAAUACCGAAAGAAUUGGAAGAGCUUUUUUCAUACAUAAAAACUUUCAUCUAACCAAAUGGCAUGUCAAAAAGCCCCACAAGAAAUUAGAUAAAAAUUUAUGAUGCCUGAAAAAAAACACUCGAAAGAAAACAAAAUCCGCGGAACUAAGAAGAAAGGAGAACUUUCAUUCAAAAAAGUCUAUCGACUAACCGAAGAUCAUGCAGAGAUGGCCCCGGAAAUUUAGCCAAUAAAACUUUAAUGACUGAGAAGAUCAGAAGAAAACCCAGAUGAAGAACAAAAAUCCGCGGAAAUGAAGAAAAUAAGGUGGAGACGAAAAAAGGAGGAAGAAAUAAAAAAACAAGCAUGAAAGAUUAUGCUAGGCACCAAAACAAAGUCAUCUAAAAUGACACAAUCGUUAAAAUAACGACAACCAAAAUCGCAAUAUACGAUCAAGAAGCCAUCAACCAUGGCACUCCCUCAAAAGGAACACAAAGAAUCAAACUAAAGAUACAACAUGUCCAAAACACAAUUUACGAUACAAAGUCUUUUAAAUCUAGUAAUAAACGAGACACAAAAUUCAAUUAAGAAAAUAUAACCAAUAACAAAGGAAAUAAGAUAAAUACAUUUAAAACUGUAAGAAUAAAGAUUUUGAACUCAUGCCAUUAUCGUGGGGUCAAUUCACACGAUCCUUACCUUACCGAAUAUAAAUAUAUGUAGAUACCGGAAAUGGCUAAAACUGAAUCGCAGUCGCUAACUCGUCAUUGACUCAUCCCAAUUGAUUCAUCCCAAAUCAAAAUUUUGAAAAUCGAGUAGAUCUAAUAUCCAAGUUAGAUCUGUUGGGGGUAUUAUUGAGAAAAUAAGAAUAAAUCAAGAGAAAUUAACUGAUUUGGAGUUUUUCAUCGGAGAAAAUCGAUGAAACCUCCGACGCUGGCUAGUAAAGAAAGAGAGGGUUUGAGGAGCUGUGAGUUUUAUUCAUGAGAGUGCUUGAAACAAAGGUUCUUUGUAAAUCACACAUGAAAUAUUAUCAUUGUUGAAGCUUGAUUACUAUUGCUAUGCUUGAUUUACUAUGAAUUGAAGCUUAAUUGACAGCGAUUGAAGGUCGAUUCUCAUUUACAUCUUAACAGUAUCCGAAUUUUAGAUACAUCUUUGAAUUCCUGUGCUUGUUUAAUUUUGCUUUUCUAAAUGUGUGAAUCGGAAAAAAAAAUGUCAGGAAAACUUUUUAUCAAGGAAAUUGAUUUCAUUAGUUUUCAAUAAGAAACAUAUAUGGGUUGAGAGUAGUUCAGUAGAGCUAUGCGUCUAUGGUGUCCUAGAUCUUGGAUUCAUUCUCACCUAGAAUACUCAUUAGUAUCCUUAUGUUUAUAAAAAAGACAAAAUAAAAACAAAUAAUACUCCAUUUGUUAUAAUAUAGUGAUUGCCAUGCAUGUGGUCAAUGAAUCAAAUAGUAGGGCUAUGAUUUAUAGGAGUAGAAUUUGUGUAUGCAUUUAAUGUUCUUGGCUUCUUGCAAAUUCACAUUGGCUAUAAAUAGCCACACUCGGUAAUGAAGAAAGAUGCACCCGAGCUUUCUUUCUAUGCUCAGCUUCUUACCUCCUUCUGUUAAAUUUAGUAGCUCUCCAGUUGUUCUUUUAUAGCUAGGAUAUUACAACACNGAUCAAGAAGCCAUCAACCAUGGCACUCCCUCAAAAGGAACACAAAGAAUCAAACUAAAGAUACAACAUGUCCAAAACACAAUUUACGAUACAAAGUCUUUUAAAUCUAGUAAUAAACGAGACACAAAAUUCAAUUAAGAAAAUAUAACCAAUAACAAAGGAAAUAAGAUAAAUACAUUUAAAACUGUAAGAAUAAAGAUUUUGAACUCAUGCCAUUAUCGUGGGGUCAAUUCACACGAUCCUUACCUUACCGAAUAUAAAUAUAUGUAGAUACCGGAAAUGGCUAAAACUGAAUCGCAGUCGCUAACUCGUCAUUGACUCAUCCCAAUUGAUUCAUCCCAAAUCAAAAUUUUGAAAAUCGAGUAGAUCUAAUAUCCAAGUUAGAUCUGUUGGGGGUAUUAUUGAGAAAAUAAGAAUAAAUCAAGAGAAAUUAACUGAUUUGGAGUUUUUCAUCGGAGAAAAUCGAUGAAACCUCCGACGCUGGCUAGUAAAGAAAGAGAGGGUUUGAGGAGCUGUGAGUUUUAUUCAUGAGAGUGCUUGAAACAAAGGUUCUUUGUAAAUCACACAUGAAAUAUUAUCAUUGUUGAAGCUUGAUUACUAUUGCUAUGCUUGAUUUACUAUGAAUUGAAGCUUAAUUGACAGCGAUUGAAGGUCGAUUCUCAUUUACAUCUUAACAGUAUCCGAAUUUUAGAUACAUCUUUGAAUUCCUGUGCUUGUUUAAUUUUGCUUUUCUAAAUGUGUGAAUCGGAAAAAAAAAUGUCAGGAAAACUUUUUAUCAAGGAAAUUGAUUUCAUUAGUUUUCAAUAAGAAACAUAUAUGGGUUGAGAGUAGUUCAGUAGAGCUAUGCGUCUAUGGUGUCCUAGAUCUUGGAUUCAUUCUCACCUAGAAUACUCAUUAGUAUCCUUAUGUUUAUAAAAAAGACAAAAUAAAAACAAAUAAUACUCCAUUUGUUAUAAUAUAGUGAUUGCCAUGCAUGUGGUCAAUGAAUCAAAUAGUAGGGCUAUGAUUUAUAGGAGUAGAAUUUGUGUAUGCAUUUAAUGUUCUUGGCUUCUUGCAAAUUCACAUUGGCUAUAAAUAGCCACACUCGGUAAUGAAGAAAGAUGCACCCGAGCUUUCUUUCUAUGCUCAGCUUCUUACCUCCUUCUGUUAAAUUUAGUAGCUCUCCAGUUGUUCUUUUAUAGCUAGGAUAUUACAACACGUUAUCAGCACGAAGCCCUGCCGGAACUGAGAAGGUAUAAUUUUAUUUAAAUGUACAUAUAUAUGAGUAGACGUGGUUAUACCCUCUACAAAAAAAAAAUUAAAUAUAUAUAACCGGAAUAGACGUGGUUACACCCUCUACUAAUAUUUUAACUACAUAUGGCCGGAGCACCGCCUAUUUACGGUACCAUAUAAUUUUGGGUAAUACCGAAAUAUAGUGGGAACCUUGAUUUAUAAAUUGCCUGCCUAUCGGAUAAUAAUUCUUUUGUGCCUAACUAACUUAUGCAGGAUUUUCCAUUUAAAUAUAUUAUUGGUUGGAGAUAACCUGUAUACGCAGGCGUCCGUAUGGCGGGUGAAAAUCCAUUUGUCAUUUUAUAUAUAGAUCUAUUUAUAAUAUCGAUGAUAAUAAUUAUGUACACAUUUAUUAUUGCUUACUUGUUAACGCACCAGAUUCAGUAGGAUUUUAUGUAAUAUUUAUAUUGAAAAUUUAAGUUAAUAAUUUUUGUGUUAAAUUCAGAUUAAAAUGACAAAUCUUACAAACUUGUCGUUCGUUGCGUUUGACAUUUCUGGGGAGAAUUAUCUAUCGUGGGUACAAGAUGUAAAGUUGCAUUUGGGUUCAAAGAAAUUAGGCAACACAAUAAAGGCAGAAAACACAUCCACAAUUGAAGAAAAUUUUACCUCUAUUAUUUUCCUUCGACACCACAUGCAUGAAGAUCUAAAAUCUGAGUACCUAGAAGUCGAGGAUCCCUUUAUUUUAUGGGAAAAUCUAAAUGAUAGGUUCGAUCAUCAGAAACUAGUUUAUCUACCUGCAGCUGAAAAUGAUUGGGCUAAUCUAAGGCUUCAAGGUUGUAGGAGUGUUCGGGCAUAUAGAUCAGCACUAUUCAAAAUAAGUUCUAGGCUCAUUAUGUGUGGUGAGAUUGUUACUGAGAAAAGAAAGAUCGACAAAAUAUUAUCCACUUUUCAUCCCAAUAAUAUCAACUUAGCCGAGAUGUACAGGGAGCGCAAGUUUACCAAGUUUGGGGAUCUCCUUUCAACCCUCCUUGUUGCCGAGCAGAAUCAUGAAUUGGUGAUUAAGAAUCAUCAAUCCCGUCCAACGGGAUCUGCCCCUUUACCAGAAGUAAAUAACACGACAUUCCAGCAGAAUGUACGUGGAAAAAGGCAUAGAGGUGGACGAGGCCAUGGUCGCUACCGUGGACGAGGCCGUGGUCGUGGGCAUUUUCGUCCUUAUUAUAGCUCUGGUCACCAGAAGUGGCAACCUGAAACACAGAGCAAAAGAAAGGCACCACAAGGAGGGAAAACUGACAAUUUAUGUCACAAGUGUGGAAUGGAAGGGCAUUGGUCACGUAAUUGUUAUAUCCCACAACAUCUUGUUGAUUUAUAUCAGUCAUCUAAAAGAUCAAAAGGGAAAAUGGUGGAAACCAAUUUCGCCAACAACUUAGAUGAUUCUCUUAUAAUAUCAACCGGGGGAAUAAGCGUUAAUGGUCCUAAUGAGACUAACGAAACUCACAUGUGGGAGGCUGAGGAUUAGUUUCAUAAAAUUAUUAGCAACCAGAGGAAUGAGCAUUAAUGGUCCGAAUUACUAUAGUUAAUAGUGUGUACUGUGUGCUUUAUUUUAUCUAUGUAAUGUGUUAUGUUCUUAUCAAAUAAAUCAUGUUUCUUAAUUAUAUACAGAAUGGAUUCUGAAGAUAUAUGCAUUGCUGAUUGUGGUACAACUCAUACGAUUCUACAAAAUAAAAAAUACUUUACCCAUAUAACCAAAACUGAAGCUCAAGUUGGAUCGAUUUCUGGCGUAUCUAAUAUAAUCGACGGGUUUGGAAAAGCUAGUUUCGUCUUACCUAAUGGUACACACAUACAUAUUCCAAAUGCAUUAUUUUCCAGUAAGUCCACUAGAAAUCUUCUUAGUUUUAAGGAUAUCAGAUUUAACAAUUUUCACAUCGAAACCACUUCUGAGGCUGGUAAAGAAUAUCUCCUUAUUACUUCUGCUAAUUCUAGCAACAAGAAAAUCUUAGAAAAGUUUCACUCACUUUCCUCAGGAUUAUAUAUGAUGAAAAUCAGAACCAUUGAGUCACACAAUGUCAUUGCUUCCAAACUCAUAGAUCCAAAAUCAUUUACCCUUUGGCAUGAAAGAUUAGGUCAUCCUGGAGUCUCUAUGAUGCGUCGUAUUAUAGAGAAUUCUACCGGACAUCCUCUUAGAGAUCUUAAAGUUCUUUCUAAAAAUGACCUUCAAUGUUCGGCAUGUUCUUUAGGAAAAUUGAUUACUCGGCCAUCUCCUACUAAAGUUAAGCUUGAAAGUCCAAGUUUUCUAGAAAGGAUACAGGGCGACAUAUGUGGACCGAUCCACCCAUCAUCUGGUCCAUUUAGGUACUUCAUGGUACUAAUAGAUGCCUCAACUAGAUGGUCUCAUGUUUGUCUUCUCUCAACUCGUAAUGAUGCUUUUGCAAAAUUACUUGCCCAGAUAAUCAAGUUGCGAGCUCAAUUCCCAGACCAUUGUAUUAAGUCAAUUCGUUUAGAUAAUGCCGGCGAGUUCACAUCUGCAACCUUUGUCGACUAUUGCAUGUCUGUAGGAAUUUCUGUUGAACACCCAGUUCCUCAUGUACAUACACAAAAUGGGUUAGCCGAGUCCUUUAUCAAAAGACUUCAACUUAUUGCAAGACCGUUGUUAUUGAAAGCCAAAUUACCUACAUCUAUUUGGGGUCAUGCAAUACUUCAUGCUGCUAAUCUUAUUAGGAUUAGACCAACUGCCUAUAAUCAACAUUCUCCACUACAGCUGGUACUUGGUCAAAUCCCUAAUAUUUCUCACUUCAAAAUCUUCGGAAGUGCUGUAUAUGUACCGAUUGCUCCACCACAGAGAUCGAAGAUGGGAGCUCAAAGAAGAAUAGGUAUCUAUGUUGGUUUUGAUUCAACAUCUAUAAUUAGAUAUCUUGAACCACUAACUGGAGACUUAUUUACUGCACGAUACGCAGAUUGUCAUUUUGACGAAUCUUUGUUUCCUCCCUUAGGGGGAGAUAAACAUGUGAAUAAGAUUAAUCCUGACAUAACAUGGAAUGCAUCGGGGUUACAUUUUCUAGAUCCACGUACCGGUCAAUGCGAACUUGAAGUUAAAAGAAUCAUCCAUAUGCAAAAUAUCGCAAACCAAAUGCCUGACGCAUUUAACGAUUCUAGAAAUGUAAUAAAAUCUCAUAUACCUGCAGUAAAUACUCCAGCUAGAGUAGAUAUACCAAUUCAAAAAUCAAGUACAAAUGAAUUGGUUACAGAUUCAAAGCCACGCCUGAAGCGUGGUAGACCGGUCGGUGCGAAAGAUGUUGCACCAAGAAAAAGAAAGACAAAGAAAAUUGCCCCUGAAGUGGCACAUGCUCCAGAAGAAGCAAAUACCCCCCGAAGUGGUAUUAUCUCCUGAAGAGAUUCCCGUCCCUGAAGAUUCGGGAUUAAACAAUCAUGAAAUUUCAAUAAAUUAUGUGCAUGAUAUGAAAUUAUGGGAUCGAAGUAAAGCCAUAAUCGAUGAUGUAUUUGUGUAUUCAGCGGCAUUGGAUGUCGACAUAAAUUCUGAUCCUGAACCACAAAGUGUGGAUGAAUGCCGUCGAAGAAAAGACUGGCUAAAAUGGAAAGACGCAAUUCAAACAGAAUUAAAUUCAUUGCGCAAAAGAGAAGUAUUUGGACCUGUUGUCCAAACACCAAUCGGUGUGAACCCUGUUGGGAAUAAAUGGGUAUUCAUAAGAAAACGAAAUGAAAAGAAUGAAAUUGUGAGAUAUAAAGCCCGACUUGUAGCACAAGGGUUUUCUCAAAGGCCUGGCAUUGAUUAUCAUGAGACAUACUCGCCAGUAAUGGAUGGAAUUACUUUUCGUUUUAUAUUAGGUAUGGCAUCGAAAGAAAAAUUGGAAACACGUCUUAUGGACGUUGUUACUGCAUACCUAUAUGGAUCACUUGAUAGUGAUAUUUUUAUGAAAAUCCCAGAAGGAUUAAAAAUGGAUGAGUUCAAGAAACCUCGUCAUAUAUACUCCAUUAAACUUCAACGAUCAUUGUAUGGAUUGAAACAAUCUGGUCGUAUGUGGUAUAACAGACUUAGUCGUUAUUUACAAAAGAAUGGGUAUAUUAGUAAUCAAAUUUGUCCAUGUGUUUUUAUCAAAAAAUCACAAUCUGGUUUUGUGAUUAUUGCUGUAUAUGUGGAUGAUUUAAACCUUGUAGGAACAGCUACAGAGGUUGAUGAAGCUGUCAUAUAUCUAAAGACAGAGUUUGAAAUGAAAGAUCUUGGGAAGACAAAAUAUUGUCUUGGUAUACAAGUCGAGCACUUGUCAUCAGGAAUUUUCCUCCACCAAUCUACAUAUACAGAAAAGGUUUUGAGCAGAUUUUACAUGGAUAAAUCUCAUCCGUUAACUACUCCAAUGGUGGUUAGAUCUUUAGAACCAGAUAAAGAUCCAUUUCGACCACGAGAAGAUGAUGAAGAAGUUCUUGGUCCUGAAAUCCCAUAUCUUGGAGCAAUUGGUGCACUUAUGUAUCUUGCGAAUAAUGCAAGGCCAGAUAUUGCCUUUGUUGUCAAUUUAUUGGCUAGAUUUAGCUCUGCUCCGAUGGCCAGACAUUGGAAUGGGAUCAAGCAUAUAUUUCGUUAUCUUCGUGGAACCGUUGAUUUUGGGUUAUUCUUUCCAGAGAACUCGACAUCUCAGUUGAUUGGAUAUGCAGACGCUGGAUAUCUGUCAGAUCCUCAUUUUGGCAAAUCACAAACUGGAUAUGUAUUCACAUAUUGCGGUACAGCCAUUUCCUGGAAAUCCACGAAGCAAACUACAGUGGCAACCUCAACAAAUCACUCAGAACUAAUUGCAAUUCACGAAGCCAGUAGAGAAUGUGUUUGGUUGAGAUCUAUUAUCAAGAAUAUUCAAGAAUCGUGUGGAUUACCGGACAUCACGAGAAGUCCUACUGUUAUGUUUGAGGAUAACACUGCAUGCAUUGAUCAACUCAAAGAGGGAAACAUCAAAGGAGACAGGACGAAGCACAUUUCACCAAAAUUCUUCUAUACUCAUGAGCUUCAAAAGAAUAGAGAAAUUGAUGUACAACAAAUUCAAUCAUGUGACAACCUUGCAGAUUUAUUCACAAAAUCAUUACCAAAUUCAACAUUUGCAAAGCUGCGACAUAACAUUGGAAUGCGUCGACUCAAGAAUAUGCUGCAACAAAACUCCAGUGAUUGAUGUUUUCUUCCAAGGGGAGAUUGUACUCUUUUUCCUUCGUUAAAGUUUUUAUCCCACUGGGUUUUUCUUUGACAAGGUUUUAACGAGGCAAUUGAUGAUCCACACUAUCAUGACAAUCAAAGGGGAGUGUUAUAAUAUAGUGAUUGCCAUGCAUGUGGUCAAUGAAUCAAAUAGUAGGGCUAUGAUUUAUAGGAGUAGAAUUUGUGUAUGCAUUUAAUGUUCUUGGCUUCUUGCAAAUUCACAUUGGCUAUAAAUAGCCACACUCGGUAAUGAAGAAAGAUGCACCCGAGCUUUCUUUCUAUGCUCAGCUUCUUACCUCCUUCUGUUAAAUUUAGUAGCUCUCCAGUUGUUCUUUUAUAGCUAGGAUAUUACAACACCAUUAGAAAUGUGCUAGAAAACGUGAAGGGAAUUUUGGAGUACUGAAUAGUCUAUUAAACAAAGACUUGUUCGUGCUCACAAGGCGUUUCAUCUCCCUCGAGCCUAAACCCUAAUUAAGCAAGGCUGAAGACCCGAAGUCCCUGAAGCCGAGACGCCGGUGGAAUAGAUAAAUUUACAACCGUUAACAUUUAGGGUUUAGGUUUGGGUUGCAGAAUGAUUAAUUCGUACUGUAUAUUAAAUUUGCAGACGGUUAGGGUUUAGGCUCGAAGGAGUAGGGCUGAUUAAUUCGUACUGUAUAUUAAAUUGGCCGACGGUUAGGGUUUAGGAUUGAGGGUGUAGGGCCGGUAGGCCCUACUCCCUGAGCCUAAACCCUAAUUAAUGCGAGGGUGCAGGGCCGAAGGCCCUAAAGCCGAGAAACCGGCGGAAUAAAUUAAUUUACAAUCGUUAACAUUUAGGGUUUAGGUUUGGGUUGCAGAAUAAUUAAUUCGUACUGUAUAUUAAAUUGGCUGACGUUUAGGGUUUAAGAUCGAGAGUUUGGGACCUAAGAUAAAUUAAUACAAUAAAUUAACUUUAUGGAAACGCUAACAUGUGUUGCGUUUUUGUUUAAUUAGAUAAAAUGAAAAUAAAAAGGUUAUAAAGGCAAUUGCUUUUGACGUUUGAUUCAAUUCAAUUUGUGGAUCCACGCGGCCCAGCCCACGGCUCACCAGAACGAAGCAGUGGUAACCCCAAAUCCAGACUUAAACGCUACUCCCUUUAGCGUUUUAUAUUCUUACAGAACCUUAAACGCUACUUUCAUUAGCGUUUAGCUUGUUUUAAAAAAAAUUAAAAACCUAAGACGCUCCACGAUGUAGCGUUUUGGUUAAAAAAAUCAAAACGCUACACCAUAUGCGUCUCUAAAUGUCAGUGAAGGCCAUUUAUCGGGUAUUUUGAUAUCCAAAAUUUGGUUAUUUGCACUACUAGAAAUUUCAUUAUUCCCAACGAAAUAUUAUGUUGGCAAAUCAAGAAAAUCCGUUGGUAAAAGAGAUUCCUAACCGAAUGCCCACUGAACUGGACCGUUAGAGUAUACGUUGUUGGGAAGCAACUCGCCAACCGAAUUAGGUGUCCGUUGCUAAGUUAGCAACCGAGUAGUAACAAUCUAGUAACAGACCUUUGUUUUGCAAAAUAACAAAAGAAACACCAUCCCACCAACAGAAUAUUUUGGUUGGCAAUUCUAGCAACAAAUGCCCAACGGGAAAUCCGAUGUUAAAUAUAGUCAAAAUUGUUAAAUUUAACAACAAAGAACUAACAGAUUCUUUCAGAUGUUAAAUUUCCGUUAGUAGAUAUAAACACAUUCUGUUGGUAUGCAUGCUUAAAUACAGUGCAAAUUUUUCAUUUUCUAGAAUUGUUCAUUUUUAUGUCUAUAGAAAUGCAAAUAAAAACAACAAAAGUGUACACUUUUCACAUAAUAAACAUUUCUUUACGAUCUUCAAAAUGAGGUAAGAGUUACCCGAUACAAUAGUGUUCAAGUACUAUAUCUAAAAGGAGCCAUCAAUUACUAACGAGGCUUGAAUACUAGCUAGUACUAACACGUAGCUAUUUGAUUCUCCAUGGCUUUCAUCUUAUCCCCAUCACAUUUAGUUCUUCAUGCAACUUCUGAUUUUUUGCAUCAGCAAAGGAUGGACAUCAAGGAAUCUCCGGCUUAUAAAAGAGAGAUUGCAAUGAACCAACUCCAUGGACCUUGUUAUCUCUUUUUUCUCACACAUGUAUUGGUACUUGUCAUCCACCUGCUCUCACGAAUAAAUUGAUAUCUUAGAUAAUCUUAUAUGUAGCUACCAAAAACUCAAGUACUUGCUAAAAAGCUGUUUAACAACUUUAUGAUAUAGAAUGCAGUGAAACCUCGAAUGCAGACACAAUCUCAGAGGCCUUAAGCCUAUUACUUGACUUCUAAUUAAUUGAAGAUUUGUGGGCAUUUUACAGAAGACCUCCUGAAUACUAUAUGAUUUACAUAAAAAUGUCAAGAAUCCACCGACUAAAGUUCUAGUCAAAUUCUUUAAAUUCGUAACUAAAAUUCAAAGGUAAAAGUUAAAGUUUUGUUAGAGAUUUCUACAUACAAUUGACAAGCAUAUUUUAUAACAAAAGUUUCAAUUAUUGAAAAUUAUCUAGAAGCAACAACAAAGAAAAACUCUGCUAUCACUAUAUACUUCUUCGAGAAAACACCCAAACUCUUCGAUAAAACUUUUUCCUUGUGGUUGGGAAUGCAAUGCAAGAUCAACAAGAGAUAACAUCUUAAGUGCCUUGGCAUCAAAUUCAUAGAUUAAGUUAGCACUAUGGGGCACAAACUUGUUCUGCAUACUUGUAAAUGCAUUAAGCAACGGUACUUGACCUUAAACAAACAAAAGAGAACAUCAAAGUGGAAAAAUGAGGUCUCUCCUCAUUGAAGUUCCAUAAUCAGGCAUGCAUAUUAAUAAAUUCAUUGUUAAACAUUAUAAUUUAGGGGAAGACAAUCAUAUUUGCUAUUACCGAAUCUAUUUUACGACAUCAAUGCAUAUAUCAAGUGUCAACAUAAAUUUAAUCUACAAGAACCAAUAACACAACUUGUUCCUCAAUUCAAUUUUACAAUAAGCUGCCCAUUCAGAACAAUAAUUACUUGUUAGAUUAUAUACAAGUAUACCAAGAACCCCCCAUAAUAUAAUCAGCAAAUGUCAAUUAAAAACAUAAAGGAACAAAACUAUACCUGAAGACUUGCACGAGAUGACCUCGAAAUCGGCCUUUUCUUGUUACCAUCUCCUUGCUAGCCGCUACUGCCGCAUCAGCUGUUUUUCCAGCUACUAAUCAAAGUGUUAGAUUCUGAAAAAAUGAAAAAAAAAACAGGGGAUUACAUACACACACAUCCAAAUCAAAAACCCACACAAAUAACAAAUCAACAAAUAGAAAAAAUAGGAAAUCAACAAAUCGAAACAUGAACAUGAAACCCGUAUAAAAACAUACAUAAACCUAAUUGUAAAAACAUCAAAAUCGAACCCACAUAACUUAUAAAACAUGAAAAUCGACCAAUCGAACCCCAAAAAUCAACAUCAUACUAGAGAAAAGCGGAGUAAAACCCUAAGGGUAACUAAUUUGAUAACUAAAUCGACGGAUCUACACAAAAAAAUUCAUUCUCGAACAGCAGCGUCAUAAGUAUGAUCAUUUUGAAACUUUAGAGGUGGCCGCCGUUACAAAACACACCUAAAGAUACACAAAGAGAGAUAGAGUUUUGGGAGAGGUCGGGCUAAUUUUGGGGGGAGAGUUUUGUAAAUUUCGGGGUUGGGGUUGGGGGAAAUGGCUGGGGGAGAUUCACAAAACGAGGGAAAACUUUUGGCUGUGCCGGAUUUUCAAUAUUUCAUCGAAGGCUAAAUUAAUAUUUUAUCGUAUUUGACUAAAAAUUCACACACUAAAAGAAACUAAAUUGUUUUAAAAUUAUUUUAAUCAAUAUUAACACGUUGAAAUAACAUCCAUACAGUUUGGAUCGUCUAAAAUACUUUUUUUAAGAUUAGUUUCAUAUUUCGUAUAAAUAUUCUAUUAAAGACUAAGUAAUUUGACCUCAUAUGACUAUAAAAUUCAUACACCAAAUUAAAGGCUAAUUUUUUUUCAAAAAAUUUAAUCAAUAUUAUCACGUUACAAUAACAUCUGUAUGGUUAGAUCGUAAAAAAUAAUUUUCAAAAAAAUAGUUUCGUGUUUCAGGUAAGUAUUCGAUUAAAGGCUAAGUAAUUUGAACGCAUUUGACUACAAAAUCCACACACCAAAUAAAAGGCUAUUUUUUUUAUAAAAAAAAUAAUCAAUAUUAUCACGUUACAAUAACAUUUGUACGGUUGGAUCAUCCAGAAUGAUUUUUAAAAAAAUAAUUUCAUGUUUCGUGUAAGUAUUUCAUUAAAGGCUAAGUAAUUUGACUGCAUUUGAAUACAAAAUCCACACACCAAAUGAAAGGCUAAAUUUUUUCAAAAAAAAAUUUAAUCACUAUUAUCACGUUACAAUAAUAUCCGUACGGUUGGAUCGUCCGAAAUGAUUAAAAAAAACAGUUUCAUGUUUCGGAUAAGUAUUCGAUUAAAGGCUAAGUAAUUUGACCUCAUUUGAUCGCAAAAUCCACACACCAAAUAACAGACAUAUUUUCUUAAAAAUUAUUUUAACCAAUAUUAACACGUUAUAAUAUCAUCUGUACGGUUGGAUCGUCCAAAUCAUUUUUAAAAAAAAUAGUUUUUAUGUUUCGGGUAAGUAUUCCAAUAAAGACUAAGUAAUUUAAUUGCAUUUGACUACAAAAUCCACGUACCAAAUAAAAGGCUAUUUUUUAAAAAUUUUUAAUCAAUAUUAUCAUAUUACAAUAAUAUCUAUAUAGUUGGAUCAUCAAAAAUAAAAAAUAUUUUUAUGUUUCGGGUAGGUAUUCGAUCAAAGGCUAACUAAAUUUACCGCAUUUGACUACAAAAUCCACAUACCAAAUAAAAGAUUAACUUUUUUUAAAAUUUUUUAAAUAUAAAAUUUCUAGUUAAGAAUGUAAUAUAAAAUUUCUUGUUAAAAAUGAGCCAAUUAACAAUUAUGUUACAUGUAUAAAUUCAAGAAAAUUACUUAAUAUUUACAAUACAUAUCGAAGCCCAUAAUAUUUUUGGCCUUUUCCAACAACCCAAAUCAAUUUAAUCAGCUAGAGCCCAUUGGGCUUUAGCAUGACACACGUGUCAACUAAGAGACUGGAAUUGUAUUCGUGUAUGUGCUCAUGUAGUGUAUAUCAAUUGUUCAUGUAAAAGUAAAACCAAUAAUCAAUUACUAACGGAACUGUUGGUAUUUAUCAACGGAAUAUCAACGCACGUAAUAACAGAAGCUUUGGUUACCAGUCUGUUGCUCAUUCCUUGGCAUUUUGUUACUAUUCCAUUGUGUGGCUAUAAUUCCUAACGGAACCUCUCGUUGGUAAAUAAGCGUGGGUAUUUCGUCGCGACUUGGUUGGCAGAACAUUGACUAGUCAAAUCGUUACAAAUCCGUUGGGAACUACCAACGGACUAAUUUUCCUUAGGAAAUUCCAUUGGUAGAAACGCUUUCUCUUGUAGUGUUGGGACCGAAACCCAAGAAUAACACAUUUUUUGGGAAUUUUUUUUUUUACAAAGUGGACACUUAAAAUGAGAUGGAGACGGUUUAAAAGCUGUAAUAUGAGACUAAUGAAGUGGAAAGAAAGGGCAGAGAGUAAAUAAAUCGACCUGUUAAGGGCAACGAGGCGUUUCGUCUCCGGCAACUUCACGUGUUCCUCUUUAAAUGGUCUCUUUAUGCGGUCACUCAAAUACAAUCAUCAUCGUCAUCAUCAGUAUGAGUACUUACAUAUUCGUUUCCAGUAUUUGUUGUAUUGAAGGAAGUGAAAUUCUCUGCCUUGGGACACCCAACCAGAUCAAAAACCCUCAAAGCCCGCAUAUUGAAAACUAUGCUUUCAUCACGACCAAAACUUUUGAGGUUUGGCAGAUCUUCAAGUUUAAUACAGCCCAGUCGAGGGAGUGUGAUAGUCUUGUCAUUUGUGUCGUCACCCCUUGCAUGUUCCACAAUGACUUCUAACGAUAUACAAUUUGAUACUCUCAAAGAUUCGAGUUGUUGGAGAUUCCUGAAAACAGAGCACGUGAAGAGAGUAGAGAAUCCACAGUUAUCAGCUUCCAUUCUCUCUAAAGCCGGCAUAUAGCAGUCGUAAUUUGCACCGUGGAUGAAACUCUUGAGGGCUGGCAAAUUCUCGAGUGUAAGUGACGAGAGUUUUGGGAGGCCAAAAGUUUCAUCUCCGCUGGCAUACUCAAAGAUGCCUUCCAACAUUCUGCAAUUUGAUACUCUCAAAGAAUGGAGUUUUGGGAGAUUCCUGAAAACAGAGCACGUGAAGAGAGUAGAGAAUUCACAGUUAUCAACUUCCAUUAUCCUCAAAGCCGGCAUAUAGCAGUCGUAAUUUGCACCGUGGAUGAAACUCUUGAGAGCUGGCAAAUUUUUGAGUUGAAGUGACCAGAGUUUUGAGAGGGAGAGAAUAAUCUUUUCAGUCGUACCAGAAGUUUCAUCUACGCUGGCAUACUCAAAGAUGCCUUCCAACAUUCUGCAAUUUGAUACUUUCAAAGAUAGGAGUUGUUGGAGAUUCCUGAAAACAGAGCACGUGAAGGCAGUAGAGAAUCCACAGUUAUCAACUUCCAAGUUGAGCAAAGCCGGCAUAUAGCAGCGGUAAUUUGCACCGUGGAUGAAACUUUUGAGGUCUGGCAAAUUUCUGAGUUCAAGUGACCAGAGUCCUGAGAGGGAGACAAUAAUCUGUUCAGUCGUACCAGAAUUUUCAUCUCCCCUUGCAUACUUAAUGAUGUCUUCCAACAAUCUGCAAUCCUGUACUUUCAAGUGUGUUAGACUUUGUAGACUUCCAGAAGCUGAGCACGUGAACAGAGAAGAGAGCCCACAAUUACUGACUGAAACAGUGGAUAAAUCUGGCAGAAGUAUGCACUCAUGAUUGGUACCAUAGAUAAAACUCUUGAGCUUUGGUAGAUCUUUAAGAGUAACUUCAUAAAGAUUAGAGAGUGUAAUAGUCUUCUUGUUCAUGCCAGAAACCUCAACCUCCACAAUUUCUUCCAAAUGAGCACACCUUGAUAUAUUCAAAGAUCUGAGAAUUGUGAACUCUGAGAAUGAAAAAAGAUUAGAGAGUCCACAAUUCUCAACUUCCACUUCCCAUAAAGACGGGACACGGCACCCAUAAUUUGCUCCAUGAAUAAUACUUUUCAGCUCUGGUAAAUUUUUUAGAACAACUCUCUGUAGGUGAGAGAGCGUGAUAGUCUUCUUAUUGAUGCCAGAUAUUUUGUCAUACUCUGCAAUUUCUUCCAAGAAAGCACAAUCUGAAAUUUCUAGUUGUCGGAGUUGUUGUAGACUUCUAAAGCCUGAGAAUGUGAAAAGAGCAGCGCCUCCAGAGUAUCUGCGAACUUUAAGCACCUUCAGCACUGGGAACUGUAAAGAUUUGAGCUCAUGCGACCAACACCCACUCAAAAAGAGUGUUUCCAGAUUAUGUAAUCGAGGUUGCCAUGUAGACGGAAGUUGCAUCUCCUCAUCACAACUUAUAUCCAAGCUCUUUAGUUGGCUGCUGAACUCUAUCAAUUCCAGCUUAAUUUCCUUGCAACUGCGAAUUUCAAGUUUCAUUACAUUUGGAAAUUCAACCUGCAAAAUAAAUAUUUUUCAUUUUGUCAACUUUAUGCUGAGAACGUUUCUUUUAUUUGCUUGAUAAUAAUAAUAUUAUAAAUAGAUAAUUUAUAAUUUAUAAUUUGAAAUUAUAUAUUAAUAAUGAGAGGCUUAAACUUAACUUGUUAUAGAAAGUUAUCAUCCGACCAAUACAAAGAUAUAUAAUAUCAUUUUUUUCUAAAUAGAGAAAUAAUAAAUAUGAAAAAUAUAAUUUGUGAUUAAAUAUUAAAAUUGUAAAAUUAUCAUAAUUAACAUAUAUUAAUAUGAGAAAAACAUCCACGUGAUACUUUCACUACUCAUUUAUCAUAUAUAAAUAUAUUAUAAAUGCUAAAUAUCUAAGAGAAAAUAUAUUUUAAUAGAUGUUCUAAUACAAAAAUAUCUUACUAAUAAAAUGAUGUUUAAUUAUAUUAUAAACAAAAAAUAUUAGAAAAAUAGAUUCAAGCUAUUCUAGGUGCUCUAUAUAGUUGAAACUAAUAAUUAUAUUUAUUUUUAUGAUUUCCAUUUCAGUUAUUUCUUUUUAAAUAAUUAUUAUAUAAUUUUUAGGAAUCAUAUUUCUUAUUUGUUCUAAUUUUUUGUUACUUAUUAAUAGGAAUUCUAUAAAUGUUUUAACUUUUAGUUGAAAAUAAGAAUUUCAUUUCAUUUUAUUAGCUUUUAUGUUGUCAAGGAGAAAAUUUUAUAUUUCUUUUUCGGUUCCUAUUUGUUAGCUUUUAUUAUACUAAUGACAGUUGAUUUAAUAAUAUAAUCAUUAUUUUUUCAUAAAAUUAAAAUUUAAUUAUUAACUUUAAAUUUUGUGAAUAAUAAUAAUUAUAAUAUUAUAAUCAGACAAUCAAUUUUAAAAACAACUUUUUUAUCAAUAAAACUAUAUAAUAUAACUACAUUAUUUAAUUUCUAUAAUGAAAUAGAGGAGCAAAUUUACAUAUUUUUCUAAUAAGCGUAUAAACCUCCUUAUAAAAAUUCUCCUGAAAAGUUAUUAUUUCCAACAUUAAUUUGGCCCAUUCCACCUACAUUUUUCUCUUGGAGAGCAGUAACAUAAAAAUAUUUUGAAUUAUAAGUCGUUUGACUUUUUUUCACGUAUUUUUAAGUCUUUUGACUGUAUACUAAAAGUCAUUAUUUUUGAAAUUUUCUUUUUUUGAAUAAAAAUAUAUGAUUGAUAUUAUAAUCCAAAUAAAGAGAAUUUCAAAAAAAAUGAUUUUAAGUAUACGGUCAAAAGACUUAAAAAUACGUGAAAAAAGUCAAACGACCUAUAUUUCAAAACCGAGGGAGUAUAAAGAGUGGUGUUGGGUGCACAAAAUUGUGUGCAGAAAUUUUGUACAUGAUGUGAUAAUUAAUUGUCUUGAUGUAAAUACAGGGCCCAAUCUAAUUAAAACUUACCACAUGUCAUUUUGUAUAAAAUUUUGGACACAUUUAUAUGCACCAAACACUGCUAACAUAAAAAAUUGAAGAAAUGAAUAUAAAUAUAGUACCUUGUAGGUAUCAAUUUCCUCACCACAAAAGCUGGUCAAGUUUGGCAAAAGCUCUAACCGUAAACACGUCAAUUCUGGAAAGACUAAGACAUCAUUGAUUUCUCCUUGCUUAGCUUCCCCCACGAUCCUCUUCAUCUUCUUGCAGUUUCCUACAAUAAUUUCCUCAAGGUGCAUAACAUCUCUGGGAACCACGUUUGUAAGGCUAUGACAAUCGUUUAUCUCUAGUUUUUUGAGAUUUGGGUACAGGUUCCCUGACUUCAACCCUGUCUCCGUUAAACAAGGCAAUCCAUUUAGAUACAAAUGACUUAAAGCUGGCAAUCGGCUUACAUCUAUGUUGCUAGCAUCUGUGCCUACUCCAGAGAUCAAUGAACUACAAUCACUUAUUCUUAAGGAUUGCAGAUUCGAUAGCUUAUGCAACAUGACAACUGGAAUUAUUGUUUGCAAUCUACUAAAGCCUUGUACUGAGAUGCUUCUUAGUUUGCAAAAAGAGGAUUCGCAGUUGUAAUCCCUCUCCCAAAUAUCACUUGUAUCUUUUACAUUUUCGAUUUUCAAAUCUUUCAAUGAAGGGAAUUCAACCUGUUGAUAAUUGAACACCAAAAUUCACUGUUAUCCUACUACAAACUUUGGAACUUAAAUGCAUAGGCAUAAAACACAAAUGAGAUUUAUUUUACUUUUGUAGACAGAGAUAUAUAGUAAUAAUUAAAUUCAAACUAUUAUAUAAAAUCAUAAAAUACACAUAACCAAUUGUGCAUGACAUUACCCACUCCGCAACCAUGUCUGACCCACUCAAUCUAAUACGACCAGCCCUCAAUUAUGCUCUAGACAAGCACAAAAUGACAAAAACAAACGCUUAAUCUUCCCGGUCCCACCCAGACCCCAACUAUACCCAUCUGGGGAGCCACAAUCGGGCUAUUCACGAACCGAGUUAAGCCAAGCCGGGUUAAUUUUUUCCUGACGAGCCGAGUUUUAAGUUUUUUUUUUUCUGACGAGCCGAAAUUUUUUAUCAAACAAAAAUUGUGUUCGAACUCGAGCUCAUUAACUUGUUCGCGAACAAAUACAAGCCGAGCCGAGCCAGAAAAAAAUAAGGUCAAACCGCUAGUUGAUGCUUAAAAUAGCUAACCAAAUAAUUUUUUUUUUUUUUUUUUGAAACUUUGGUUAUUCCACUAAAGGCUUAAUGACCUUUUAGCCUUCAAAGUAUGGGUGGAAAUUCCGAUGCGGCCUCGAAGUUUAAAAACGUACCUUUCGACCCUCAAAGUAUCUUUGUCGUACCUUUUAGCCCUUUUUUAAAAAUACCGGUAUAAAUCAGAGGAUAAACUUGACAAUUCAUAUCCGGGGUAAAGUUUGGGUGUACCUUUUAACCCUUAAAGUAUACAUCUCGUUCUUUUUAACCCCUAAAGAAUACAUUAAAAUACAUUAGAUCUUCUUUUUAACCCUUAAUGUUUAAUGCCCCUUUUAACCCUCACGUGUGAAAUAUCAACUUUGUCCACCCUGUUAUAUACCGAUAUACGCCAUAAGGGUUAAAAGGUAUGACAAAAAUACAUUGAGGGUCGAAAGAUACGUUUUUAAACUUCGAGGACACAUCGAAACUUCCACCCAAACUUCAAGGGCUAAAAGGUCAUUAAGCCUUCACUAAAAUGUAUAUAUGUUAACAUUCAUACGGUUGGAUCGGUAAAAAAUAUUUUUUAAAAUAUGGAAACACCAAAUUAGGAUUAAACACUAGUUAGCGGUACUAGUCAAACCUCUACUUGAUUGUUAAAAUAGCAAUACAAAUAAAAUUAUUAUUUCCCGAAACUUUGGUCACAUAACUAAAAUCUAUAGAUAUAUUACAUAUUGAAUUCUGAUUUCAAUAUAACACACACACACACACACACACAUAUAUAUAUAUUAUAAAAACCCCCAAAAAAUAUUACAUUUUUCGAGUUUUAACGAGCCGAACUUGAGUCGAACAAGCUUGAGCCGAACAUACUAAAAGCUCGGCUCGAGCUCAUUUUCUUAACGAACUAUUUUUUGUGUUCGAGCUCGAGCUCUUAACGAGCCGAGCUCGAGUUUAUUCGCGAACAGCUCGGUUCGUUAAACACCCCUAACCACAACCCUACACAUCCUUUUUAAAACAUUAAAAAUAUUAAAUUAUAACUUUUACAAUAUUAAUUUAUAAGAUAUAAACAACUAUAAAAUGAAAAAUGAUAAUUACAUUAUAUUUGAUAUAAAAUUAUUCAAGUUAAAUAACUAUAAUAAAUAAAAAUAAUAAAAAAAUUAAUCAUUUAAGAUUUAACCGUUAUUUGCACAUAAUAUUUUUUGUUUAAAUUUUGAUAUGUAAUUAUUAAACAACCAAAAUAUUAAUAAAAAUAAGUGCUUCAAGGAUGACUAGAAAAGUAAAGGGUGGAGCGUACCAUAUUAUGGAAUAGAGGUUGAAACUGAGCAGAGGGCUGCAUCAUGGCGUCUUUAUUUUCACUGCAGAAGCUGCCGAGUCUCGGCACUUUGCUUAGCUCCAAUUCUUCUAAAUUGGGAAAGUGUAUGAUAUCUCCCUUGCUUGAGCCAUCAUUCAUUACUAUUGCUUCCAUCGCAGGGCAAUCUCUUAUUAUCAACUUUUGCAGCUGGGUGAGACGUUUUGCAACAGAGUUGCAGAAGAGGUAUCUUAAACCGGAGCAUUCUUUAAUUUCUAAACAGGUUAGAUUAGAAAAAGAUGUCUGCUGGCUAUGCUGAAUCUCACCCUGUGACAUCCUUGCCAGAUACUUCAUUUUGUUACAUUCUUCGAUGUAAAGCUUUCUCAAUUCUGUGAAUGCUUCCCGGUUGCUAUCGAAGAUAUUACUGAUCACAUUAAUAUCAGUGCGCUUCAAACUCACAUAUUCAGCCUUCUUUAUCAGACUAUUCAAGCUUUCUUCACGAUAGUCUUCCAAUUCAACCGAUGUCUUGUAAGACAGAUCUGCACUUGGGAGUCGAGAGUCUUGACAAGAUCCUUGUAACAGAACAUGUAACGGAAUCCACGGAAGAUGGUGUCAACUGCAGCAUCAGAUAUUCUGUCCACAAGUUUCCCCACGAAUGGAAUGUCAGAUAAACCAACCAUGAUUCUUACUUGCUUCUAAUUUUUUUUCCUGUAAUUGUGUAACAAGAUGCAGUAGAACAACUUAAAAUGCAAUUAAAGAAUAAGAGGGGAGAAGAAAAGGAGCAAACGGAACAGGAAGUCAAGCUGAGCACAGUGGAAAACUUUAAAAGAUGCAAAAGUAAAUGCCUAACACACAUAUAUAAUUAAGUAGUAAUUUAAGAUGCACAGUGGAAAGCUACUUUAAAUCAAAUAGUAAAAUUAAAAGAUGCACGGUGGAAAACUUUGCUGGACAAUAAUUCUCCCAACAUUAUUGAGUUUCAAAAGGUAUAAUUUAAGUAAGGAUUGGAUCCCUAACACACAUAUAUAAUUAAGUAGCAUACGUUUACCGGAGAAAAAUUUAUGAAAAAUUACUUAUAGGUUUCACGUCCAACGCUUUUUUCACAAUGAACAUAUGCUACUAUUAUAUCUUCUGGACUACCCUUUAAGUAAAUGGUAGACCAAUUGAGUUUCAGAAAGCAUCAAUCUAAGUAAAUGGGUGGACCAAAAAAGCUCUGCGGCAGCCUUGUUUUCUUAUCGUUCCAGCUAGUCAAAAUACAUUAAGAGCAUUUUUGUUUAAACUUUUAAGUUAAAGUUAAAGUUUCUACACGCGGUUUAAAGUUAAAGUUAAAGUUAAGAGCAGAAGAGCAGCAAGAAUGAGUGGUGGAUUCUCACUCUCAAGUUAAAGUUUCUACACGCGGUUUAAAGUUUAAACCGUACGUCUACACUUACGAGGUCUUGUCCUGUUGUCAUUUUGCAUAGCUUGGUGAAUCGGACUAUGGCACGGUGUUCUGUUGUUCAGUUUUCGUUGUUGAAUGGUGUACUGCCUAAGGACACAGCCUUAAAAAUUUUUACUAAUUGAAGUUUGGGAGGGUUAGGUUGUCCAAGUAUUUUAACUUCAUGGUCGGAUGUUAUUUUGAGUUUUAUAAAACUUGUUUCACAUGCAAUGCAAUCAAUUCUCCUUUGUAACUCAUUCAAGGUUGCAACAAUUUGUUUAUGUCUCAGAUGUAAUUUCAAAAAUGUUUGGUAAAACAACUGCAGUAGUUAGUUACUCUGCAGUGCUCGAUCAUCACCUCGGUGAUACAGUUUCCAUUACUGGUAUUGGGUAAUAAACAGAUUGGUGCUCAUUUUGGACUAGUUGAUGAAUUAUACAUUCACACAUUUGGACUACUCGAACGCUAGUAAUCUUUAUUUAUAGCCUCCUUUUUAAUAUUUCUUCAUAAAGGGAUAAUUAAAUUAUAGCUCCAUGAACUAUUGACGUUUUAUUGUGUAGGUUCGUGAAUUAAAGAUUCGGUAUUUUAGGUCACUUAACUUUUCUGUUUUCUUAUCUAAGUCCUUCCGUCAAAAAGAUUCUAACGGUGUUAACUAGGGUUCUUGACGUUACUACGGAUCCAAACAAUUUUGAGGGUGUUAGUGAUAUCCAAAUUUAAAGUUCAAGUAGUCAAAUUAAAGCUUGAAUCACUAGCGACACUCAUAUGACACCAAUUUUCACAAAUUGGAUUUAAUUUAGAAAACCCUAAACUAGACCAUAAAUUUAGGGUUUUUGAUCGAAUCCAGGGACUUAAAUUUAUAAUUUUUUUGAAUUGGAACUAGUUUGUGAAAAUUGAUAUCAUAUGAGUGUCGCUUGCGACUCAAACUUCAAUUUGACUACUUGAACUCUAAAUUUGGAUAUCACUAACACCUUCAAAAUUGCUUUAAUCUGUAUGAAACUCAAGAAACCUAUUUAACACCGUUAGAAUCUUUUGACGGAAAGAUCAGAAAACAGAAAAGUUAAGUGAUCAAAAAUACGGAAUCUUUACGGAAUCUUUUGUUUAGGGACAUAAAACGUCAAUAGUUCAGAAACUUAUAAUUUAAUUUUUCCUAUAAUUGACAAGAUGUUUAUGUAAAUAUAUUUUUAUUAGGUGUUUAAAUAAGUAUUUUAUUUAAGUAAGUUAAACCCAUUAAAAAUCUAAGUAAAAAUUUGAAUGAACAAAUAUUUUUCUUCCUUUUCACGCUACUUUUACUCUCAUAUCUCCUUUUUAUACUUUAAAAUCAAUGGUCGACCAUUACUUCACCAUUUUUUUUUCUCUUUUUCACUAUUUUAUGCAUAUUUCUUAGUCUUCUUAUCCAAACCAAACGUAAAAAAUUGGCUAGGACCAACAUUUGCGAGUGAAAAUGCAACUUCUUAUGGAAUUUUUGAAACAAAUGCACUUAAAUAUACGUGCACAAAGUCUAGAUUGCUAUGUUAACAAUUCUUAUAUUUUACUUUUUACAAAUAAUUUUGAUUUAAUAUUCAAUUUUAUUUUAGAGAUUUUGGUAUUAAAAAUAAAUAUAUCUUUUAAUCAAAAUAUUUUAAAUGGGGACUAUUAAUGUGAUUUUUAAAAUAAAGCUUUUAAAAAUAAAAUAUUUUGCUUUGACAUUUGAAUCACCUUUUUUUAUCAAGAAAAUUGAUUUCAUUAGUUUUCAACAAGAAACAUAUAUGGGUUAAGGGUUAAGGGUAGCUCUAGCUCAGUAGUAGAGUUUUGCGUUUAUGGUGUCCUAGUUCUUGGAUUCGAUUCUCAGCCAGAAUACUCAUUAGUAUCUUUAGGCUUAUGAAAAAGAGAAAAAAAGAACAAAUAAUACUUCAUUAGAAAUGUGCUGUACAGGCUCACAAGGCGUUUCAUCUCCGGCACGGCCAAGUCUUCCUCUUUAAAUGGUCUCUUUAUCUUGUCAUUCAGAUUGUGAAAUUCAUCCCCAUCGGUUCUACAUUCCCGUUUCCUAAAUUCAAGCAAGUGAAAUCCUCUGUCCUGGGACACCCAAGCACACCAAAAUAUCUUAGCAGGGGCAUGUUGAAAUCAUAGCUUUCAUCACGGCCAAAACUUUUGAGGUUCGGCAGAUCUUCAAGAUAAAUAACCCCGAGUAGAGGGAGUGUAAUAGUCUUGUCACUUAUGUCGUCAACCCUUGCAUCUUCCACAAUGACUUCUAACAAUCUGCAAUUUGAUACUUCCAAAUAUCCGAGUCGUUGGAGAUUACUGAAAACAGAGGACGUGAAAAGAGUAGAGAAUCCACAGUUUUUAACUGCAGAGAUUCCAAAGCCGGCAUAUAGCAGUUGUAAUUUGCACCGUGGAUGAAACUCUUCAGGGCUGGCAAAUCUCUGAGUCGAAGAGAUUCGAGUUUUGAGAGUGUGAUAAUCUGUUCAGUCGUACCAGAAGUUUCAUCUCCACUGGCAUACUCAAAGAUGGCUUCCAACAUUCUGCAAUUUGAUAAGCUCAAAAAUCGGAGUCGUUGGAGAUUCCUGAAAACAGAACACGUGAAGGCAGUAGACAAUCCACAGUUAUCAACUUCCAUAUUCCACAAAGCCGGCAUAUAGCAGUCGUAAUUUGCACCAUGGAUGAAACUUCUGAGGUCUGGCAAAUUUCUGAGUUCAACCGAAGCCAGUUCUAAGAGGCAGAAAAUAAUCUGUUCAGUCGAACCAGAAGUUUCAUCCCCCCUCGCAUACUUAAUAAUGCUUUCCAACAAUCUGCAAUCCUUUACUUUCAAGUAUGUUAGACUUUGUAGACUUCGAGAGGCUGAGCACAUGAAAAGAGAAGAGAGCCCACAAUUACUGACUGAAACAUCCGAUAAAUUUGGCAGAAGUAGGCACUCAUGAUUUGCACUGUAGAUUAAACUCUUGAGCUUUGGUAGAUCUUCAAGAGUAACUGAUUCCAGCUGAGAGAGUGUAAUAGUCUUCUUGUUCAUGCCCGAAACCUCAUCCUCCACAAUUUCUUCCAAAUGAGCACACCUUGAUAUCUUCAAAGUUUUGAGACUUAUCAACUCUGAGAAUGAAAAAAGAUUAGAGAGUCCACAAUUCUCAACAUCCACUUCCCUUAAAUAUGGGACAAGCCACCCAUAAUUUACUCCAUGAAUAAUACUUUUCAGCUUCGGUAAAUUUUUUAGAACAACCAUCUGCAGGCGAGGGAGCGUGAUAGUCUUCUUGUUCAUGCCAGACAUUUGGUCAUCGUCCGCAAUUUCUUCCAAGAAAGCACAAUCUGAAAUUACUAGUGCUUCGAGAUUUUGCAGACUUCUAAAGCCUGAUAAUGUAAAAAGAGCAGAGCAUCCAGAAUAUUCGAAAACCAUAAGCAAUUUUAGUCUGUGGAACCUUAAAGAUUUGAGGUCAUGCGACCAACACUUCCUCAAAAUGAGUAUUUCCAGAUUAUGUAAUCGAGGUUGCCAUGUAGAUGGAAGUUCUAUCUCCUUAUCACAACUUAUAUCCAAGUUCUUUAGUUGGUCGCUGAACUCUAUCAAUUCCAGCUUAAUUUCCUUGCAACCGCUAAUUUCAAGUGUGACUACAUUUGGGAAUUCAACCUACAAAAUAAAUACCUUUCAUUUUGUCAACUUUAUGAACGUUUCUUUAAAUAACAACUUUGUUUAUCAAAUAAAACUAUACAAUAUAACUAAAUUAUUUAAUUUCUAAUAAUGAAAUAGAGGAGCAAGUUUACAUAUUCUUCUAAUAAGUGCAUAGACAUCUUUAUAAAAUAAUUUAUUGGUUCCAACUAUGAUCUAAUUAUUAGAUCAAAAGUUAGUUAAAUCAAGCAGUAAAAUUACCUUCUCAACAUUCUCCAAAAUAAAAAUAUAUAUAUAUUAUUUCAAACAUUAAUUUCGCCUAUUCCGCCUACCGUUUUCUAUUGCAGAGUAGUACUUUCUAUUGCAGAGUAGUACUUCCUCCGUCCCAUUAGAUUGUUAACGCUCACCGUUUGCACGCAUUUUGAGACUCUUAGAAAGUAUAAUUCUAUAAUGUUUUUUUAAUUUAUUUAUUUUCUGAAUAAAAGUUUAAAUGUCAAACUUUUAUUUAGAAUUUUAAAAAAAAAAAAAUAUCAUUGAGACUAUAUUUUAAAGAGAUCUUAAAAAGCAAGCUAAAAAGUGAUGUUAACAAUCAACGGGACGGAGGGAGUAACUACUAACAAAAGAAUAUAGAAAAUUGAAGAAAUGAAUAUGAAUAUAGUACCUUGCAGGCAUCAGUUUCCUCACCACAAAAGCUGGUCAAGUUUGGCAAAAGCUCUAACCGUAAACACAACAAUUCUGGAAAGACUAGGACAUCAUUGAUUUCUCCUUGUUUAGCUUCCCCCACGAUCCUUUUCAUCUUCUUGCAUUUUCUUACAAUAAUUUCCUCAAGGUGCAUAACAUCUUUGGGAACCACGUUUGUAAGGCUAUGACAAUCGUUUAUCUCUAGUUUUUUGAGAUUUGGAUACAGGUUCCCUGACUUCAACCCUGUCUCCGUUAAACAAGGCAAUUCAUUCAGAUACAAAUGACUUAAAGCUGGCAGGCCGCAUACAUCUAUGUUGCUUGCAUCUGUGCCCACUCCGGAGAUCAAUGAACUACAAUCACUUAUUCUUAAGGAUUGCAGACUCGAUAGCUUAUGCAACAUGACAGCUGGAAUUAUUGUUUCCAAUUUACUAAAGCCUUGUAAUGAGAUGGUUGUUAGUUUGCAAAAAGAGGAUUCAGAGUUGUAAUCCCUCUCCCAAAUAUCACUUGUAUCUUCCACAUUUUCGAUUUUUAAAUCUUUCAAUGCAGGGAAUUCGACCUGUUAAUAAUUUCACACCAAAAUUUACUGUUAUCCUAAUAAAAACUUGGGAGAUUAAAUGCAUAGGCAUAAAACACAGAUGAAAUUCAAUUUAAUUUUGUAGACAAUCAAUUUUAUUAAACAAUCAAAAUAUUAAUAAAAGUAAGUGCUCCAAGGAUGAUUAGAAAAGUAAAGCGUGUAGCAUACCAUUCUAUGGAAUAGAGGUUGAAAUUGAGCAGAGGGCUGCAUCAUGGCGUCUUUGUUUUUACUGCAGAAGCUUCUGAGUCUCGGCACUUUGCUUAGCUCCAAUUCUUCCAAAUUGGAGAAGUGUAUGAUAUCUCCACUGCUUGAGCCAUCAUUCAUUACAAUUGCUUCCAUCACAGGGCAAUCUCUUAUUAUCAACUUUUGCAGUUGGGUGAGACAUUUUGCAACAGAGUUGCAGAAGAGGUAUCUUAAACCCGAGCAUUCUGUAAUUUCUAAACAGGUUAGUUUAGAAAAAGAUGUCUGCGGGCUAUGUUGAAUCUCAUCCUGUGACAUCCUUGCUAGAUGCUCCAUUUCGUUACAUUCUUUAAUGUGCAGCUCUCUCAAUUCUGUGAAUGCUUCCGGGUUGCUAUCAAAUAUACUACCAAUCACAUUAAUAUCAAUGUGCUUCAAUUUCACAUAUUCAGCCUUCUGUACCAGACCUUUCAAGCUUUCUUCAUGACAGCCUUGCAAUUCAAUCGAUGUCUUGUGAGAGAAAUGUGCUCCUUCUUGAGGUGACUCACCCACACAAAUUUUAAAUAAUGUUAGAUUAUCAAAUAUAUUAGUAUUUUGAAAAGGCUCAGAUAUUUUAAAUUUUAUGUGCAAACUUUUCAAGUGGGUUAGUUGAUUAAUCUCGACCAAAAUAGGUUUCGCCACAGCAGAACUAUCAUCACUCCAAAUCUCAAAUCCAUCAGGUAUAUGCAAUUCUUCCAGCCUGAAUAGGCUGGAUAUGGUAUUUGGCAUGAUUUUCACUCUCAGCCCAAUGAUUUCUAGCUUUCGAAGGUAUUUCAGGUUUGAUAAAUCCAGAGGUUCUGGGAGAUGACCAAACAAAAGGCGGAGAGUUUCUAGGUUUUCAGGAAAAAGGCCAACAUUUGUGUUGUUAAUGUCAGUCAGGUCACAACGAAAAAAAACCAACGUCCUCAGUUUACCCAAGGGUUGAAGAGAGAACUUCAGCUUUGAAAGAUAAGAGUCAUUAUUACCUUCGACAUAUAAAAAUCUCAGAUUUUCAAACAUGCUGAAGAAGCCGCCAGAGAAUUGUUGUAUAUCAUUGUUGCAUAGUAUCCACAAGCUAUGCAGAUCUGGGCAUACAAGAUCAUCAGGGAUAUGAAUAUUAUCACCAUCCAGAUCUAGACGUAAAAAUUUGGUUUUGACAAAUUCAGCAUCAUCAAGCAACCGCACGUCACAUUUUACGUGUGAAAAUGCCAAUUUUGGAUCUUUGAACGCUAUAGAUCUCCCUACAGCUCUGAUGAUGUCAUGAAGUUUGAUGCACUCAUCUUCUUUACAAUCGAGCAACAAAGAAGAUGACCUGAGAGUAUCAACCAUUGAUAGUACCCGAGAUUCCCCAGAUACAAGCUGUGACCCUGUUGCCAACCGGAUCAGCUUCUUGAUAGGGAUGUCAGUAUCUUCGUUGAACAAGCAACACAAAAAGAGACACGACAUGGCAUCGCCGUGUAAUUUAUUGAUACUCCAUUUUACACAAGUAUAUACUUGUGCUUCUACGUCCGGAAUGUUUACAAAUUCACCCUUCUCAAGUUGUUCCAAUGCAUCCACCCAUGAAUUGUGAGUUUCGAAUUGCAGGGCUUUACUGAUUACAUGAAUUAGGAGUGGUAAACCCCCACAUUUACCACACACUUUCUUUGCCAGAGACUCAUCCUUCAAUGAAUCAAUUCGAUCAGAACCGACAAUAUUUUUGAACUGAUCCCACGCUUCAUCAUUUGGCAGGGGUGUAAUCUUAACAAGAGUCUUGCACUUGUUACCCAAGCAUACAUUUUUCUCUCGAGAUGUUAAGAGAAUCUUGGAACCCAUAGAACAUGGAAUUCCAAUAAAAUCUAGGGGAAUUUCCCUCCAUACAUCGUCGAGUAUGACGAGUGUCUUGCCCGCAUUCAAUAAACUUUGUUUCAGCUGAGAAGCUCUGCUUUCCGCAUUAUCUUGCGAAUCAAAGGUGCAACCAAGAUCCUCAGCAAUCUGUUUCUGUAAGUGUAUCACAUUCAGCUCUUCUUUACCCACGUUCGCUCGUGCAAACUUGUUGAAUAUUUUCUUCUCGGCGGCUUCUUCCCAUAGCUGUUCCAUCAUCCUGGUUUUCCCUACUCCGGGCAUUCCAUAUAUACCAACGAUCGGAGAGCUAUCAGUGGUCAACGCAUGCCAUAGCUCCCCAUAAGAAUCUUUCCUAGAUUGAAAUUCCUGGAACUCAGUGGUACUUUUGGGUAAAUUUUCAGCUCGCACAGGAUGUGCAAUAUCAUUAGCCAGGAGCUCCUUUCCGGAAUCAAUGAGGUCAGUUAGCCUCUCAGUCUUCUUCACCGCCUCUCUCCCAAGUCGAAAACGUGAGACGGGGUUGGUAAUUGGGAGACACUGAAUGCACCUCCAUGAAUGUCUGUUUUUGUAUUUUUCUGCAAACUUUUCCGUGCUCUCCUUGAUUUUUGCAGCCUCUUUCUGCCACUUAUCUACAUGAGGCUGGAUCAGUUUACCAUUAGCUCUUUCCGCAGCAACUUUUGUGGACACCCUGUCCUCCUCCAUGCUAGCUUUUUCCACUUGGGACUCGAAAGUCUUGACAAGAUCCUUGUAACAGAACAUGUAACGGAAUCCACAGAAGAUGGCGGCAACUGCAGCAUCAGAUAUUCCGUCCACAAGUUUCCCCAGGAUUGGAAUAUCAGCUAUACCAGGCAUGAUUCUUACUUGCUUUCAAAUUUUUGUAUGUGUUCUUGGAAUUGCGAAAGGAAGACGAGAAGCUAGAUAGCAAUUAAAGGAUAACAGAGGAAAAAGGAAUGAAUAGCAGUGAAGAGAGAAAGAUAGCAAAAGAAAAGGAAAGAAAGAACUUGAAAAAUGGGUAAAAAGGGCAAUAGAAAACAAGGUAAGGAAGCUAGAUUGGAGUUUUGAGAUUGAAUUAGUGAGAAUGUGAGAAAUUGAGAUUAUCCGAUACCAUACAUUUAAUCUGAUAUAAGUUUUUCACGUUCUGGCCACAACUGCAUCUGCAUGUUAGAUCCCCUCUUUGAGGACUGGAACAUGAAUGCAAUUUUAAGCUAACUCCAUGAUCCUAGGUUACAGCCUGGAGAGCUUAAACAACAAGUCAAUUGGAUGCUGCAUAUUUAAAUGAAAAGCACAUGCCUGUCGCAUGAACGCCGUUCACACUUGACAUGAUUUAUGUCUAACAACUAAAAUUUAUGCAAGUCAAUCAUAUUUUAGAAGAGAAGGGUGUAUUAAACUCGGAUUUUAAUUGAUUGUUUUUAGUAUAUUAAUUUUAAUGUAUUGUAUCUGAUUUUAAUUUGUGCGGAUUCUUGAUAAAAUGUCGCGGAGUUGAUAUAAAUUUGUUAGGAUUUAAACACAAUAGAUUUUGGUGAGAUUUCAAAAAAUUUAAAAUACACUGACUAAUCUUAUAAAAUCCAUCAUUUUAUAAAGUUCAAAAAAUCCAUCAGUAUAUUUAAAUACCAUCAAAUUUUGAUGUAAUGUUGACACGUGUGCAGUGAUACUACUCUUAGACUCUUAGCUGAGCACGUCAGUGAUCAAUGAUUCAUGGCUUAGCUACAGCCUUCAGGAGUACCCUUGACGUAAAUUUAACAUUCACACCGACUUUCCUGUUAGCCCUCCAUUUUUAUAAUCUUCUUAUGCAAUAAUACCAGAGCUGUGUUUUAAUCCAACGAUUCAUUUCGAGCACGGUUUAAAUAAAUAUUUCAAAUUUAUUAUUUUUUAAAAAUAUAAUCUCUUUUUACUUGAUUACACUAUAAAUGUUUGUUGUUCUGAUCCAUUUGAGUCUUUAUCUCUUUUGGCAAAUGACUAAUAAGAUAACAUAACAGAAUGUUAAUUUGUGAAGUUUAUUUGUUUAUUAGGUGGUAUUUGGUCAUAUGGAAUUUUUUUUAUCAUCAUUUAAUAAUGUAUAUAUUGAACUUCUAAUAACAUUUCAAUCUUGUACAACAUGAUUAUAAAAUUUAGGGUCGCGCUCAAGAGAGAACCAAUGCUGAAAAUAGAAUCAUGGAACCACUAAGGUUCUGCUGCAGAAUUCUAUAUUUUACAUAGAUUUUUGCUAUCUAAAUAUAAAUACAUGUUUUUUUGUAUCGUUGUGUGUGUUCAGAAGUAAUUUCAAAAUAUAAUAUAUAAAUAAAACAUUUUUUAUGUGCAGUUAUGCUGCAAAACUCUAACUAAUACUAGAAAAAGGUUCUCUGUGUGAUAUUGGUUUUCACUUGAACAUAACCCAUAAAAUUUAUGUCGUAAGUAUUGUUGAUAAUCUAUAAAGGGUAGCGGUCCACAGCCAUUAAUGGCUGUGGAGCACUUAACCAACACACAGAUCCUCGGCCAUUGGAUGCAUAUCCAGCGCCAGGAUCAUAUUAAAAUUUUAAUAUGUUCAGCGCUUUUUUAGCGUUGGACAUCGGAAUCCCCAUCCAGCGCUAAAAAAGCGCUGGACAUAUUAAAAUUUUAAAUUGAUCCUGACGGCUGAAUAUGCAUCCAACGACCCAGAAUCUGUGUGUUUUUUAACCAGUCCCUGGCAUAUGAUUGCCAGGUAAUGGACCCAUGUAUAAAUUGAAACCCAUGUCCUCUUGCUCCUUGAGGAAUACACAUUUGUAGUUUCAAUAUACAAGUGUAGCCACCACAAAAAUUUCUCCAAACUCCAACACGAUGCAACAAUAUAUUGUUAUCAAUUAUAUUUUAACUAGGAUGGUGCCCGCUGUCGCGAGCUUAAAUGUUGAACAGAUAUUUGUUUUUUUUUCGGUUCUAAGUUAUAAUUUUGGUGUAUUUUUUUGGUUUAUCGAAAAAAAUAUUUUAUAUUAUGUAAAUAAAUGCCUCCUUGUAGUUAAUUUUAACAUUGUACAAUUUGUUUGGACUUUGUUAAUAAAAUAUAGUAAACAGUUAGCGAUUGGGACAUAGAAAUCGCUGAAUUCAAUAGAAGAUUUGAGUGGAAAAGGAAAAAGUUAUAGCAUUUCCUUAUAAGAACCCCUACGGGACAACUUUAUUUGCAAUUCGAUGACAUAUUCAUCCCUUUUAGAUGAAAUUAUAAAGACAUAAAAUAAAGAUUUCUCAUAUGAUAUUUAUUAUUUUUUAGUACGCUUUAGUAAAUAAAAAAAAUUAAAGAAAAAAAUAAAUAUUUGAUUGCCACAUAAUCCAUGCUUGUUAAGAAUUUUUGUUGACUUUUACUACCUAGUCCCUAGUCUAUUCUUGGAAAGAGCCACAUGAAGACAUUAAUAUACUGUUAUCCCUGCUGUCCAUAAGUGAUUCAUAACGCUUUUGUUGAAUCAUUAUUGUUGCGCACGAGUCUUCCUUUUUCUUUACAUAUCAAGGUAAUGCAGAUGAGCAAAGCCCUGAUAGACUUAACCUCUUUCCUUUUAUGUGUAUCUUAAUCAACAAACUUCUAAUACAUUCAUUUUCUUAUAAACAGGUUUAUCUUGAUUCAGGUAUGGACUCUGAUCUGAAGAUCCCUAUUAUGUUCUUGAAAGCCCUAAUUUUCUUUCCUCGUGGAACUCUUCCUGACAAACUGGUACUCUCCCCAAGUCUUUUCAAUCCAACUUAUUGCUUUGCGAGUUAUAGUUUUAAGUAAUUUUUUUCCUUUUCUCAGCGUCUUCCCCGUGGUUUUGUUGAUCUUUUUGGGGAGUCUUUGCCUGAGAUGUUAAAUUUGAAGACUAUGGAAGGGUUUAACUUUGCAGUGAAAUAUUCAAAAGAGGAUGGAUGUUUUUCCGACAUGCAUGGACUUUUGGCGAAGUUGCUCCCAAAAGAAUGUCAAUUUUUUUUAUUUAAGCACUUAGGAGGAGCCAAUUUUGAAGUGUUUAUAUUAGAUGUAGGCUGUGUUCUGCAGGGUAUACCUGGUAUGAUUUCUUACCUUGUUUUCAUUUGUCACAUUGAAUACCCAAUGAUGACGUUAUUUUUAUCCAGGAAGGAAUAACUCCUUUGAAUGCAUGUUUAUUCGAAUAUUUGGGAAAAGUUCUAGCGAAUGGAGUCCCUUGGUAUGAAAUAUAUAACUGCUGCUAAUUCAUUAUGAUAUGUUCGAUUUUUUGCCUCUGAUUAUGUAUUGAAUUACUUAUAUAUUUUUCAGAAAUUGUCUGAAGAUGUUAUUGAUAAGUUUGGUAGUCAAGUUCCUUCUGGAAUAAGGUUUCUUGUCAGUGAUGGUAGUUUAGUCUCUCGUUCUUUUGAUUCUGGGAAUGGCACGAUAAGAGGACUAUAGAAAGUUUAUAGGUUUUACGAUGUAUCAAUUUGUGAUAUUCUGGUCUUCACAUACACCGGAGGUGAUCUUUUUGUUGUCCAUGCUUUUGGAAAGGAUUGUAUGCCUAAACGUUCAUGCAGUAAGAUAUUAUUUGUUUAAGAUGUGAUAAAUGUUGACCGUUUUCUUCCAUAAUAUAUUUUUCAUAUGAUUAUUUUCAUUUGAAAUGAGUUUAUGGCUUUUAGAGGAUGCUGGUCUGUAUUUUGAAGUUGAAAUCAAGCAAUCUCACCUUCAAGAUUAUGAUUUUGGUGUGGUAAGUUUUUGCAGUAGACAGGUUAUGCCUUUAUCCUUUUUCUUUUUGUUUUUUGUGAUUUUCAGAUUGUAACAUUAAUCUAAAUAUACAGACUGUACCUGUCAAGUUCAAGGCUGCAACAAAAAAUCUUGGUGAAGCUGAAACUCUAAAAAUACGCCAUGGUCAAAAGAGCUGGAAUGUGGUUCUGAAGAAGCGAACUAAUAGGGUUGAACUUCACAGUGGAUGGUCGUUGUUGUGGAAAGAUUUGGAUUUGAUGACUGGUGACAUUUGUGUUUUCAACAAUGCAGGUUCUAAGCUUAAAUUUAACCUUGAAGUAUAUAAGAAAAGUAUCUGAAAAUGCAUGUUGUUUAUUUAAAAUGGUUAUGAUAGUCGUCUAAGAUUUGCUCCUAAAACUGUUUUUAAAUGUUCCAGUUCAUUAUGGUAUAAACUAAGAUCUCCUAUGUUUACCAGAAAUAUUAAUCGUUUGCAAAAUUUACUAUGAUCAGAUAUAUGAAAUGAUGUUUUGUUUGAGUGAACAUAUUAAUUCAAUGCAACAUUUAGAUGCUGCGAAACUUACACAUAGAUAGUGUGACAUCAAAUUUGAUAUCAAAAGUAUAUUUCAUGAAAUUUUAUACGAAAUUUGAAAUCUUUCAUAAUUCCAAUAAUACUUUUAUUUUUGUUAACAAAUUAAAUUUCAUAGGUGAAAGAUUUCUUUUAGUGUAUAGUGUCAAUGGAUUGUAACACCAUCUCCAACCCGUAACACUAAAAAAGUGUAACUUUUAUGCUAUCUUAGUUCCAAAAUCACAUAAUGCAUAAAAUCCAACGCAUCAACACUAUAAUUUAUACUAAAAUGAAUCUUUUUACGACAUAAAAUGAACAAAUUUAUUUUUAACACUAUAAUUUACACUGAAGGAAUCUUUCUCUGACAUCUUUAAAGGAAACAAAUGUGUUUUAUUAAUAAAAAAGGGCAUUAUGAUGUAAAAAUUACACCAAACAUAUAUACUUUUAACACCAAAUUCGGUAUACUAGCUAUAAAUUUUAUAGCAUUUUAGUGUUGUAUUAAAGUUGAUUUACUGUUUAAAUUACACUAUAUAGCGUUUCCUUGUUAUGUUAGCUUUGCUUUAAUAUUCUAACAACUCUCCAUGGAGCUGGAAUAUAACAACUUUAUCGUUAAUGUUUUGAAAAUGCUAGUAACUUUAAGAGCAUUUUUAAUGAAGUUGGCUAAAAUUAAUGGGCUAAAUUGGACGUUAAGACCUUACAUAAAAUUUGUUGUAUGUUGUUAAUAUUUCAACUUUGUAUAAAUAUAAUAUAUUAGUUCAAUAUGAUAACAAAUGAUGUGACAAUUUUUCUACUUCCCUCAAAAUGUUGACCAAAUAUACCCAACAUUAGUGGAUUGCCUGUGUUUUUAGACAAGUGUAACAUGUAAUUGGAGUGGUCUUUAUUUAUGCUAUGCUUUAUUAAAUGUUAGCGAAAGAAUUUUUAUGUUUGGAGAUGUUCAAAAAUAGUUGUUGAAAAGGUUAGGAAAUGGAGUUUAGCGAGGUAGGAUUCUUAUUGCAUUUUAGAAUAAUCAUGUACAUUAUGAAACCUAAAUUAAAUAAAAUACGUAUGAAAUUAUUUUGUGCAGUUUGACUUUUGUCAUAGUUUUGAUAUUUAUAUAAAUUUUUAUUUAUAAAUAAUUAAAAUGUUGUUUUCCAGUUAAUUAACCAUUUUGAAAUAUAUCUAAAAGCAUGUGGCGUGUUUAUAAUAAUAUAAUUUGUUAAUAAUACUGAAAUAAAUUUUUAAUUAACAUGAUAAAGUAACUAAAAAUGUAAGCUUAAAAAGCAUAUUUGAUGAUAAUGUCCAAAUAUAUUCCAGUUAGAGUAACCUAGAGCUAAAAUACAUUUUAAAAUCGUGACUAAUAAUGUGAUUUUUCAAAUAAAAUCUUAUAUUCAAAUUUGAAUUGCUUUUUUUAUUAACCAGAUUGAUUUCAUCGAUUUACAACAAAAGAAAUACAAUACUCCAUUCUUAACUGUAAAAUGUGCAAGAAAACAUGAACUCAACUGAUAAGUGUAAAAGAACUCACAAAUACAAAAUUUGCAGUACUGAACACUCUCUUAAACAAAUAGACCUGUUCCAGGCCCCUAGACAUUUCAUCUCUGGCGCUGCCCGUCUUCCUGUUUAAAUAGUCUGUAGUCUGGAACUCUUUUCCAUUAUUCUACAUAUGUAACAUAUUCCUUUCCUGUAUUUGCAUUCAAGCAAGUGAAAUUCUGUGCCCGGGGACACCCAACCAGAUCAAAAUAAUAUAGUCUGGGCAUAUUGAAAGCAUAGCUUUCAUUAGGGCCAAAACUUUUGAGAUUUGGCAGAUUUACAAGUUGAAUAACCGCGAGUUCAGGGAGUGUAAUAGUCUUGUCAUUUGUGUCAUCACCCCUUGCAUCUUCGACAAUGUCUUCUAACAAUAUGCAAUGUGAUACUUCCAAUUCUCUGAGUUUUAGGAGAUUCCUGAAAACAGAGCAUGUGAAGAGAGUAGAGAAUCCACAGUCAUGAACUCUCAUAAAUUUUAAAGCCGGCAUAUAGCAGUCGUAAUUUGCACCGUGGAUGAAACUUUUGAGGUCUGGCAAAUUUUUAAGUUCAAGUGUCUCGAGUUCUGAGAGGGAGAUAAAACUCUGUUCACUUGUACCAGAAGUUUCAUCUCCCCUUGCAUACUCAAAGAUGCCUUCCAACAUUCUGCAAUCCCGUACUUUUAAGUCUCUUAGACUUUGUAGACUUCCAGAGCACAUGAAAAGAGAAGAGAGCCCACAAUUACUGACUGAAAGAGAGCGCAAAUCUGGCAGAAGUAAACACUCAUGAUUUGCACUGUAGAUAAAACUCUUGAGCUUUGGUAGAUCUUUAAGAGUAACUGACUCCAGUUGAGAGAGUGUAAUAGUCUUUUUAUUCAUGCCGGAAACCUCAUCACUCCUAAUAUCCUCCACAAUUUCUUCCAACAGAGCACAACUUGAUAUAUCUAAACGUCUGAGACGUGUAAACUCUGAGAAUGAAAAAAGAGAAGAGAGUCCACAAUUCUCAACAAACACUUCCCGUAAAGACGGGAUACGGCACCCAUAAUUUGCUCCAUGAAUAAUACUUUUCAGUUUUGGUAAAUUCUUUAGAACAACUAUCUCCAGGUGAGAGAGCGUGAUAGUCUUGCUAUUCAUCCCAGACAUUUCAAAAUCCUCCACAAUUUCUUGCAAGAAAGCACAAUCUGAAAUUUCUAGUUCUUGGAGUUGUUGUAGACUU